ensembl:lncRNA
CAGAAACCUGCUGCACUCUCCGCCCAGAGCUGGGGAGGAUCCUUCAAAAUUCCUACCAGGCAGCCCUGUGCAGGGGUGGGAGGGAAGGGAACAGAGGGAGGGAGGAGGCGGGCAGGGAGAGAGAGGUAGAGGGUGUCUGUGCUGCGUGCGUGUGGCUCGGGCGGGGAGAGGAGGAAGCCAGCGGAGCAGGCGGUGGGAUCCCGUGUGCCCUGCAAAGGUGUCAGCCCCGAGGGGACUGAGCUUGCCAGUCCACCUGGAGCGAGGUAGACUUGGGGGAGGCAGGCAAGGUCAGUUGCUAAGUGGCUCCCUCCUCGGGGAUGGUGAGGACGUCUGCUGCUCUCCAGUGCCUGCCUGGUGCCUCUGGGUCACACUCGGCUGUCUCCUCCCAGACACUUGAUUUUUCGAAAGGGACACACCUUUCUGCAGGAAGGAAGACUGGCCAGACUGCGAGCGUUUCCACCCCAUCUGUCCAGCAUUCCCGCCCUCCUCCGCACCCCGGGGAAGCGUGGCCCGUCUUCACCGUGAGGCUUUUGCCUCCUAAGCCUGGAUUUCCGGCUGGUUCGCUGGGGGUGGCUGUGGAUGCCCAGGCAGACUGACCCGGCAGGAGUGUUUGUGCAUGGGAUCGGAGACCAUGGCAGUGCAGCUGGUGCCGGACUCUGCUCUCAGCCUGCUGAUGGUGUUUCUCAUAAGGACAAAGGUGAAGAUUGUGGACAUUUCCAUCUGUCCCCUCCUUCUGUAGAAGGUGGCCAGGGUGUCCAGCGUGAAGUAAUUGGGACCAAAGUGUGCCUUGAGUGAUGACCCUCCUAGCUUUAGCACUAAUCUUCAAAGGAUUCAGGACUGCCCUUGAGUCCCUCACUCUGGGAGUUAGGGAGUCUUUAGCACAUCGGCUGAUUCUCUGGUUGCAUCAGGGUGGAACUCUGAGCCUGGGAGAGCAUUUCAUGCCUCCUCUGUUUUACUGCAGCCGUUUGCCGUCACCACGUAGUAUCAGUAUCUCCAGACAGGCUACGCCGUGGCUUGCAGGGUUCAAAACCUCUUCAUUAUUCUACUAAAGAUAAACAGAUGCCCAAGCAGAAUUCUGAUUGCUGUGAAGCAGAUGAGAGUUCGCAGGUCACAGAAAAGAGGGCGGUGGGUGGACUCUGGAUCACAUGCUGAGGGCUCACCUGCAGGCCAUCUCUCCUUCGUCACAUGUGUCCGGCUUCUUCAUGAUGACCAAUGAUGCCUUCCCUUCAACCCUGAGUUAACUGCCAGCGGAGGCACAGGCAGAGGAGAGGAGAGGGGCCUUUUGAUGUUUUUCUUCCAUCUCUGGACCUUAUCAGAGAUCUUUAGAGACUGUUUUUCUUGAGAAGCUAGUGCUCCUUUGCUCGUGAUGUUAGUUAGGAAGAGGCAGAUGCACUCAUGGAAGAAUAAGCUGGAGCCACGAGGCUGGGAGGGGCUGAGGGGCCGGGUGGUUAGGCCUGGUCUCCGUCCUGCAGCCUCUGGUCAGUACAGGAAGAGCCUACAAUGACACUGAAGCCCACCCUGAAGCAGCUGUCAGUAAGGAAGGUGUCGCCUACUCUUUGUGUGUGUAAAUUCACAAAAUGAAGCUAAUUAAGUAUUGUCCUCUGGAAGAGUAUUUUCUCUAUUUAAAAAAAUUCAUGCUUGUGUUCCAAAUGUAAAUAGAGAAAAUUACAGAGGAGAAAAUUAAGUCGACUCCAGAUCUCAGUAUGUAGGGAUAUGAAGACUUUAAUGAUAACUGCAUGACUUCUCUGAAAAGGCUUUCCAACUAUAUUACCAUGCCAGAUUGCAAAUGCCAAUUGUGCUGCAAGGGUAUGGCCUUGACUAUGAAAACUGAAAAGAGGUGUCAUUUUGUAAAUGGGAACGAAUGGCAAACCAUUGUUUUAAAAUUUCUUUGAUUAAUGUGAUUAUCAAAAAUUUGCAAGUUUUUCAGUUGUGAACAGUUGUUUAAACUUUUGGCUUUUUUAAGUUUAUUUUUCUUGUUGGUUUAUAAGACUGUCUUAUCUAUGUGACAUGUUAACCAUUUCUAUUACAUUGUCAUCACAUCGUAAUCACUGUUAUCGCCAAUAAUUGCUUUAUUGUUUGAUAUUACAUUUUUAUGAUUCAAUUCUAUUUGUGUAGGUUUAUUGAGGUAUAAGUAAUGUACAAAGGGCUGAACACAUUUAAAAUAUAUGUUUUGAUGAGCUUGACAUAGGUAGACAGUCAUUAAAGCUUACCACUUCAAAAUAAUGAAUAUAUCCAUUGUUCAUAAAAAUUCCCUUUUAUCCUUUUACAGACCCUCCCUUAUACCACCCUUUCCAUCCUUAAUUUUGCUACCUUGAAUUUUUUAUAAAUGGUUCAUACAAUGUAUACUCUUUUUUUCUGAUUUAUUUUACCCAGCAUAGUUAUUUUUAAAUUCUUUCAUGUUGUUACAUAUGUCAAUAUUUCAUUUUUUAUUGCUGAGUAGUAUUUCUUUUGAUGAUUAUACCACAAUUUUAUCUAUUCACCCACUAAUAGAAAUGUAUGUUGUUUUCAGUUUGGGGAUACUACAAAUAAAUCUACUAUUAAUUUUCAACCUUUGUGUGAACAUAUGCUUUCAUUUCUGCUAACACCUACGUAUAGAAUAACUGGCCCAUAUGGUGGGUAGAGGUUUAAUUUUUCAAGAAACUUCCAAACUAUUUUCCACAGCAGUUGUGCCAUUUACAUUCCCAACAGCAGCAGACAGGUGCUGCAGUUUCUCUACUUCAUCAGCAGCAACACUUGAUAUAUAUUUUUUUAAUUUUAGCCAUUCUGAUUGUUAAAUCUGGGUUUGUGGUGGGAUUUUACUGUGCUUUUAACUACCUUUUUUCCCUAGUAAUUAAUUUUCCUGACUAUCAUGUGCCAUUUGCUAUUCUUAUAUCUUCUUUGGCAAAGUGUCCAUUAAAAGCAUUUGUCCAUUUUUUGUUGGAGUUAUGUGAUUUAUUUUGAAUUUUGAGAGUUCGGUCUUUAUUUUAGAUAAAAUCCUUUUAUCAUAUAUAUGAUGUACAAAUAUUUCUUUCUGGUCUGUGGAUUACCCUUUUUUAUGUAAUAAGGUUUUUAAACCUUAAAUUUUAAAUUUUGGUGACAUCUAUUGAUUUUUAAAUAGUCUGUGCUCUUUGUUUUUCCUGUUUUAUUUUAUGGAUUUAUUUAUUUGUGUGGUGCUGGGGCUCGAACCUCAGGCCUCGUGCAUGCUAAGCAUGUGCUCUACCACUGAUCUACACUCGCUAGCCCUGUGUUCCAUUUCAGAAAUAUUUCCAAACCCAAAACAAAAAAUUUUUCAUCUACGUUGUAUUAAAAUUUUUCAUCUACGUUGAAAGUGAGUCACAUCCUGCAACACUUUUAGAAUGAAACAUGGACGUGAUUCAUUUUGAGCUACUUUUUCUAUAGGGUGAGGUUAGGGCCAAGUUUUCCUGAUCUUUGCUUGCAUAUGGUUUCCAGUAAUUCUAGCACCAUUUGUCAAAAAGACUUCCUUUGCUAUUGAGUUAGGCUUCUGUUUCCUAAAGCUGCUACACCAAAUCACCACAAAGUAAGUGGCUUAGAACAGCAAAACCUCCUGUUCUUGGGUUAUGGAAGCCAGAGGCCUGGAGCUGCACUGUGCUGCCUCUAGAUGCUCGGAGCUGGACCUGCUUCUCUCCCUGCACCCCGAGGCUCCUCAGCCAUCCUGGCUGAGCCCUUCCCUGCAGCGGCAUCAUCCCGACACUGCUCCCCUCUGCACAUGGCAGGGUCCCCUCUGUGUCUGUCCCUGUGUCCCUGUUUUCUUACAAGGGUGCCCAUCAUUGAAUCUAGUCAGACUAAGCCAGUCUGACUUCCUUUAAGCAAUUAUACCUGCAGGGACGAAAUAAGACCACAGUCCAGGGUGCCAGGGAGACACAUGUUCCAAAGGGGUGUACGUAACCCAGUAAAAAUUAAUUGGGUAUCUUUGUGAAAACCAAUAGAGCACAUAUGUAACUUAUACUCUUGUGGUUUGGUUUAUUGUUUUUAUGCUUCAAAAGUGCUUGUUCACAGUGAGGUCGGUUUAAAUGUUAACUGUGUUUUAUUCUAGGUUGUUAAUUUAAUUUCUGAAAAUCUAGAGUAAAUUUUAGAUUGUGGUAUAAGGCUGCAUUAUAAGUUUUUUCCCAAAUAAGAAAUUUCCUUUUAUUUCCUCUAGUGCCUAAAAUUUGUUUUUUAUUUUAAAUUUCUCUAAGAUAGAUGUAUGUUUGUAAUUUUACAGGAUUGUUACAUGUUUACACACACUAUUAAAAAUGGUCAUUUUCUUUGUGGAAUAAUUCAUGUCUCGCCCUGCAUGUUGCCUACUUUGUAUUAGAGUAAGUUCUUGUUAGUCUAUAUAUGAAGGUCAAUUUCAUGACCACUUUAUUCUUUUCUGACUGUGGCUGAGACUCUUCCAGUACUGUAUUCAUAUCAUUGUAAGUGCAUAAUAGGCUUUAAUAGCAGUUUACAAGAUACCACUUUCAUCUUCCCUGAUUAUUCUUCAAAUGACCUUCAAAAUAAUUAGCUCGACCUUGUUAAGACCGUUGUAGUUUCUGGUGGAACAGCAUCGUACCAAUGCGUGAUUUGGGGAAGAACGGGCACUUCCUCAGUUUCAGUCACUCUGUAGGAAAAUCUGUAGAUGCAAGUCAUUCAUGUUUUCAUUGCAGCUUUAUAAUUUUCAUCAUACGAGUUUCUAUUGCACAUCUCUUAUCAGCAAUGCACUCCCAGAUAUUUUCUACUUAUUAUCUCCUGUUGUAAAUGAAAUCUUUCUUUUCCCAUUAUGGUCGCAAAACCAGUUCUUGCUGACAGAAACAUGAAUGCCUUUGAUAUAUUUAUCUUCUACUGCUCAUUUGCUGAGUUCACCUGUUAAUUCUAUAAUUUAAAAAAUCACUUUUACUUCCUUUUGGCACCUAAAACUUAAAACUGUAUUUUCUUUGUUCUCAUCACUGAUUAGUUUUCUGACUGCUGAACUAGUCUCUGUCGUUCAGAUCUGCAGUUUGAAAGCGCAUGGUUCAGACCUCAGGGUCUGGCAGUGACAUUGCCCUGGUCUGAGCAUCUCCUGCUUCGCUCCUUCAUCUUCAAGUGCAUCUCACAGUGGCACACUAACAUGUACACCUUCCAAGCAUUCAGAGCCAACAAGGCUCAUCUGCAUCCCUGUGACAAUUUCCCCUUUUGGAGCCACAUUUUGAGACCAUGCACCCCUACCAGUUUCCACCCUAGUUCGCUCUUGUUAGUUGUCCCGAGAAUUUGACCAGCCACCCGGAGCAGAGGAAAUGGCGGUGGGACUGCAGCCUCCUUAGGAGCCAGCAAUUAGGCCACAGAGGAGGACUUCCGGUUUUCGCUCAGUUCAGAUUUACAAACAGAGAAGGCGAGCAAAGGACAAUCAGGCAUGAGUUUUCCGGCCACUUUUAAGGAUGGGUUAGUUCAUUUGCUACCAUUUUUCACCAUCCUUGGACAGUUUUCCCCUCCAAAUUCAGCUGGAUUUUAGGAACAGACUGAUAGUCACUUCUAAUUUUGAGACCAUUGUAAGUUCUUGACUUUUUCUCCUACUUAAAUGGGUACUUUGGUAGAAAGCUGGUGACGUGAACUUUGUGGGCUGUACACCAGGUACCAUUCUUAACAGAAAGUUUAGCAGUUUGAAGGCAAAUGAAGUAAGACUUGAGAAGUAAGGCACUUAUAGAUUGGGUACCUCCAACGAGGUCUAGGGGUUCUGGUGGAGAAGCCUCUUUGUUUUCUUCAACUUGGGACCUAAGGUAACCCACUGUCGACUCUUCAUGAGCUCUGAUUAGCAGUUCACCCCUAGACCUUCUCCAGGCCAAACUCUGGAGAACAUCAUGGCACCUUCCUCCUUCCUCAACUGCAGGGACCCAAGGGCAUCACUCCGCACUCCACGUGGGCCAUGGCUUUCUCCAGCUCAGUGUAUACCUGACCCAGGUGGCAUGACGGCUUCUCUGCAGAGGCAGGUGUUGUCAGUGGUGGGACCUGUUGGGUGUUCCUGGAAUGAUAGGUAGGUAGAGCAUGAAGCAGAUGAGAAGCUGGGGUGGGGGUCACUUCAAGACAGGAAGAGUGUUGUCUGAGUUUUAGAGAAGUACUUGUAGGUUGUAUUACCUCACCUUGCCGAUUAGCUUACGAUGAGCCUAGGAGCCUGGAUUUCAAGGGAACAGGAAGAUGGGAGUGGUUCUGUGUUUACCGUAGGAGCCAAAUGUUCAAACACAGUGACAACAACAACACAACAAACUGAAAGCCUCUCUCACUGACGAGUGUGGCACAAGCCAAGAGAGGCACCCAGUGAGCGGUCCCUAAGAAAGGCAAGAGAGAUCCCUAAGAAAGUAGGUGACCCAGGGAAGAGCACACAGCUGGCGCUGUCUGAAGUGAGGGACUGCUGAAGCCACAAGCACCCCAGGAGACAAGGGAGGAGUUGGCAUCUGGGCAGCUGCCGCACGGAAGACACAGAAGCCAGCCUGUGAUGCCACCACCCAUGGAAGGUUCUUGCCAUCCCCAGGUUUCCCUACCCCGUCCUCGGCCCCUCAGAAGCCAAAGGCAAACAAUGAGCAGACCAGGACAGGAAAGAAGAGCACGAUGAAGAAGGCCCAGAGGCCAUGCUGUCCCUUCCACCCCUUUUCCCUUCCUCGAACGCACCACUGCAAGUCCGGGAAGGUCGCACCUUUGUCCUGGGGUGGGGAAAGAGCAACUUCAAACCGCAAGAGAGAUUCAAGUGUUUAUUUCUAGGAGAGCUGGGCUUUUGGUGCUUCGGAUACUAGGAAAGAAGCACUAAAGCUAGAAAAUGUGUCCAAGGCUGGGGGAGAGAGAUUAGACAAAAUUUAUUUAAAGAAAGCGGUUUUUCCACUAAAAAGUUGAUUUCCCAUUUUGCAUCCUAUAAAUUCCAUCUACUAUGUGUGAGACCAGUUAUACUUGCACAAAAAUCUAUAUAAAAAUGCUUAUGUUGAAAUUUUUUGCCAAACUGCUGGUAAAAUAUUGGGAGUAAACCAAGUCCUUAAAGUUCUUGGGAGAGUUGCUCACAAUUUAUCUUGAGUGUUUCUUGCUGUCAUGUUCUGUAAGAAUGAUUAAUAAUGAUGCCACACCAAGUUCUCUGUUUCAGUGGUACUAACCUUGACCAGAGCAUAGAACAAAACAAAGAAUAAUCUUUAACACGAGUAAAAUCUCUGCUCUAAUAAAAGAAAAUAUACUUGCAUCUUUACGAGAUCAAUAUAUCUUUUCUUGGCUAAUAGAUGUCAAAAGAAUCUAUUUAACUCAGAACUAUUCAGAUUUAUAUUUUUUAAUGCAAAUUAGGACUAGUAAAAGAUUAUCUAGCAAAUAAAAUAAACAUCCCAAGUCUACACUGAUGUAGGUAAAUGAAUAAAUGAAUACAGGGCAGGGAAAUCUCUUCCUUACAGUAGAAAGUUGGUUAGAAAUGUAGAAUGAUUGAUGGAAUAAGGCCAGCCAGCUUAGUGGAUCAAAGUUUGAGGAAUGCAAGAAUCUCCAAGUGGGGGCUGGGGAUUUAGCUCAGUGGUUCCGCUGCCUGCCUCGCAAGCGCAAGGACCUGAGUUUGAUCCCCAGUACCAAAAAAAAAAAAAAAAAAGAAUCUCCCAGUGUAUCUCCCAGAGCUACGUUUUAUUGUAAGGUAGGUAACAUGGUACAUGUCCACUUACUUAGCGAUCGGCCUUCAUAGCUCCAGAAAUGGCACUGACUGAUCCCAGGUGCCCUGGAGCUGGUGCACUGAGAACUCAUCACUCCUGGGCUCUUCCUACCCAGAAGGCGUAACACGGAUCUCAUUAUGAAGACACAAGGGGCAAACCCAAGUUGAAGACUAUUCUCCAGAAGAGCUGACACUGACCCUUCAAAUAUUAAUAUAAUAAAAUCAGAAACUAUAGAAGCAAGGACUGCUACAGACUAAAGAGACUAAAGAGAGGGUGGGCAUGAUUGAUACACAAUAUAUGCAUCUAUGGAAGUGUCACAGGAAGCCCAUUAAUUUGCUCAGUUAUACACAGUAAUAAAAAAGAAAUAGACUGAAGAAAGAUGACAGCUGAAUGCACUACUGUACGUGAUCUUGGACUGUCUUCUGCUAGAAGGACCCUAUCAGAUUAGAAGAUAAUAUUCUUCGAUGUUAUUUCAAUAAUCUUUUUGUGGUUUUGUAAGAAAAUUGCGGGCUUUUUAUUUAAUAAAGUUUUAUUUUUCCAAGUGUAUGGCUGAGUGGGCCUGUUCGUUCAUCUUCACCCACAGAUGCGGCGUCUCUGGUGUCUCUGGUAUAAAUAACUGAGCUCUGUGCUUUGAAACCUUAUUGAUGAGUCCUCUGCUGAGGGCCCCCGAAGGACUGCCCUGCCCCAUGCACCUGAAUCUUCAGUCUCUCAGAGACCACAGCUGGUUGUAAGCUUCUAGUUGGCAACUUCCUUACAGAGUGUGUCGCAAGCAGCUGUAUCAAACAAGACCAGGUUCUUGAGCUUAUCCUGAACUUUGCCUGUGGACCACUUCUUUUCACCUUGCCCUCAGGUUUGUUCACCAAGUCUUUGUCUUUCUUGGCCAGCUUUCCAGCAUCUUUCUUUUUCUUGUCAUCCUUGGGACACAACACAAAGCUUGGAGGGCACUGUUGACCACUGCAGCCUUGCUAAGAUGUUAGACAAAAAGGAAGCACCAUUCACCAGCCGGCCCACAAAGCCCUGUCCCCAAAUUUGUGUUUUGCAGAAAGACACACUGAAGUAUUUAUAGAUGUAUUUUUAUUUGAAUCAAUCUAAAAAUAAAAUAGGAGCAAUAAACAGAAAGGCUGAAGCAAAACAAAAGGUCGCUAUUUGAAGAAUCUAACAUAAGGGCUUUGGCAAUUCCCACACGCGCAUUGUGUGUGUGUGUGUGUGUGUGUGUGUACAUCUUGAUCUUAUCUUAUAGAUAAGGUGUUACAUUAUUCCCACUUUCACAGCAGGAAAUGGACUAAUUUGCUUCUAGUUCCAUACUAGUCAGUGUUGGAACUGUAGAUGAACUCCCAGGAUUCUGAAAUCAAAGUUUAGGUUAAGAACUGAGUAAAUUGAAGAGUUUUCUUACUUCAAAACUCCUUAAUACCACCUGAAACUCCCUUUUGGAAGUUUUUACUCAGAGUCUGUAUUAGCUAUCUAUUUUGGUGUAAUAUGUCACUCCGUGACUCAGUGGCUUGACACAGCAGAUAGUAAUAUCUCAGUUUCUGUGCAUCAGACUUGGGUGCAGCCAGGGUGAAGCCCCUGGUCUUGUCUCCCAUGAGCUUGCACGGCAGCUGUUGGCGGGGGCUGUGGUCCCACCUCAAGGAUGGAUGGAGGUUCAGUUCCUUCCAAGUUCACUCACCUGGCUGUUUACAGGCCCGGAUCCCUCACCACAUAGGCCUCCCGCAGAGCUGCCUCAUGACAUAGCGCUGACUCCACAGGUUAGCAGAAGAAGGAGUUCGAGCAUGACCAAGAGAAAAGCUGCAGUUUUUCAUAAUCAAAUCUCAAGUCAUAACCUAUCACUUCUGCUGUUUUUUAUUCAUUAGAAACAAAUCAAUAUAUCUUUGACUUGGAAGAGCAGGGAGUGCACUUAGGAGUAAGUGCCAAGGGUGGGAACCACCGUAGAGGCUGCCUACUACAGACUCUAAGUAUGUGUUAGCUCUCUAUCCCUAUGACAAAAAACUCAAGAAAAUAAAUUUCAAGGAAAGGAGAUUUAUUGUGGCUCAUGGUUUCGGAGCUUUCAGUCCAUGGAUGAGCAGCUCUGUUGUUUCUGGACCUGUGCUGAGGCAGAGCAUCCUGGCAGAAGGCACAGUAAACCAAAGCUCUGUAUCUCAUGGUGGCCGAGGAGGGAGGCGGGACCAGCGAGGCAGGAGCUGGGGCAGGAUAUGGUCCCCAAGGUCACAGCCCGGCAACCUACUUCCUUCAACUAGGUUCCGCCUCCUAAGGACCCCUCAGCUUCCAACAGCCCAUCACAUUAUGACCUCACCAAUGGAUCCAUCCACCGAUGAAGCGAGAGCCUCUGUAACGCAGUCACCCAGGAGGCCCCACCUCUGAACACUGCUACCCCCGGGACCAAGUCCUGACACGUGAGGCUUGGACAACAUAUCGUAUUCAAACCAUAGCAAGGUGCCUUUAACCUACCUACAUAUCUCCACCUCUUCUCUUUGGGCAUUGCUCUCUUGAGAGAGGCCAGUUUGGAUGCAGCUGCAAACCAAGGGCUGGGGCAUGCAACGUUGCUUCUUCCUGAUCACAAUCCUGAUCCAGUCCCCUGUGCACUCCAGGUACUGGGCGUUAAUCUCAGAGACCAGCACUUGUCCGGCUGCGACCCUUGGGCCUGCCCAAGCCAGUGCCCAUUCCCUUCCUGCUCAUCGGGCCCACGUCUUCAUCAGCGCGCCUCUGCUGGGUCCCAGGACUCCCCAAGGACAGAAAAUGUGGCAAUUUUGCUAAAUCUGUUCCUUCCCACCUAGCACACCCUGAGGCCAGCGACCGGGCUAGAGAGAACCAACUAAUUCUCUAGGAGACCAUGCUUGAUUUUUGGCCCUAGCAAAGGCGUGAUGUAUGGUCGAGUGUUCAUACACUCAGUUGUUCUAUAAGACACACUGUUAUACUGGGCAGUAGUAAUAGACCAUCAGAUUAUGGACUUGAUAACUUCCCAGGAUUACAGCCUUAAUCUUUUCUCCUUAAUUGGAAAAACCUCUCCCAGGGCAACAUGUUUAUAAAAAUACAGAGUAGGCAACAGCUUAUAAAGUAAGGCACUGAUUCCACCUGGAGUUUUCCUAUUGUUCCCUUUUCCUUACCCCUGAAUUCUCUGGAAUUAUUAAUUAACCGCUGGAGUUAUUCCUGUGGAAUGGGUACAAUCUGAGCAGGGGUGACAGAAAAGGAAAAUAGGAAAUCAAUCCCCCUUCUAGCAAUUAACUAAAUUAAUGUGUUAAUGUACUUCCUGCUGGUCUUUUGGACACAUAUUUUUAUUAAAAAUUAAAUAGAAUUAGAAUUAUGCCACCUCUAUCUUUUCCACUUUUUAGUUCAUGAAUGUUAGAUUUGGCUGCUCGAUAUUCCACUGUGUGCCCAUAGCUCGGCUUCUUUCAUGCGUUUCCAAGCUUUGCCCCUAACAACAAUACCAUCAUGAGCAUCUACGUACUCGGUCAUUUUGCACAUCCCUGAUCAUUGCUUUCCAAGAAGCUCCUGUAAGUGACAUUUCUGGGUCAGAGGGGAAAAUGGGUGUUUUACUGCUAGCUUUCCUGUUGCUGGGACAAAAUGGCUGAUGCCCCCAAAUUACAGAGGAAAGGUUUCUCUGGCUUCAGAGGCUUCAGUGCAUAGCUGGCUGCUCCACGGGCGGAGCAGCCUGGCAGAGGGUGUGGUGGAGCAAAGCCACUCCCUUCCUGCAAACUGGGAAGCAGAGCAGAGGCUGGAGAGGAAGGGGCACCAGAGGCAGGGCCCAAGGUCACAAUCAGCGGGUGCUUUCCUAAUCCAGGCUGCGCCCAACCACCAAAUUGACAGUCAGGCUGAGCUGUGAUGGGCAUCACAGUGCAGGCUGGGAACAGCAGGGAGGCCUGGAAAGGGCUGCACAGCGGCCUGAUGUGAGGGCCACACACGGAGGCGUGGCAGGGCCGUCCUUGGGGCAGCACUAGAGCCCUGGGCAGGAGCAGCUGGCCUCCCUCAUUCCUCUCAAACACUGCCUCUUUGAUCUCAGCAGUCAUCUGGACUUGCUUUGUGUUUGUUUGCUCUGUGCAGUGCUAGGGGUCAACUUCAGGGCCUCAUGCAUGCUAGGCAGGUGCUUUGCUCCCAUCCCUACCUCAUCUUCUGAACCUCAAUUUCAUCAUCCGUAAAAUGGGAUUAAGGAUUUGUGUAAGUCAGAACAUAUAUCCAGAGGACUUCACCAAAAUCAUCCCAUAGAGGUCAUUAGCAAAUACUGGAAUCCUUACCCGAUGUCUUAAAUUUUGGUGCUAUCUCAUUUACCUUAACAUGAAAAAUAUAGCACUGUUUAAGCAAAGCUCACUGGCCUGAGCAUCCUUCAGUCAACGUUUACUUAGGGUGCUCACCAGGAAGGGGGAGUGGAUUUGACCGUCGUUUCUAGAAAGAUAUGCUCACAAAGGCAUGCAUUGGAGGCCAUGCAGCAAGCCUGACAGCGUCUUUAAAGGUAGUAAGGUAGAUGCUUACACUGUGGAACUCGUGCGGACACACCUAUAGCCUGAAUAAAUUGAACAACUGCCCCAGCAUUAUAUUAAUGCAUAUCGAGCAAUAGCUUGGAGUAAAAUUUCCUGUGACAGUGUGCUAUUCUCAGACAACUGAGAUGGAAAUGCAGGUGACACAUCCAGGAAAAAAGGAAUUGAAGAACUCAGAAACUGGCUCCCGAGAUAACAAACACAUUGAUGAAUAAAACUGCAUAAUGAUAUGUAAGAUUGGGGAAAGGCAGCAUUUCUACAUUCAUGUAUUAUUUAAAGAGUGUGGUUUAAAAUAUGCAUGUGCAAUUGAAUUGGUACAUUAAAUUUUAUGUCAUAUUUAUUUUGUCUAAAUCUCUAACAGUUUCUAUAGUCAACUGGAUUAUAAAGAGUGUUACUGGGGAAUCUUUUCAUUGGGUAAGAGAAGCUUCUCAUUCUAGGCAGAUCCAUGAGUCACCUACACAUAACAUGGUGUGAGAAUAAAACAGGAGGUUUAUGAGGUACUUGGCCCACUGCCAGGCGCACAGCAAGCACCCAAUUAAUACAAGACCCUGUUAGCUGCAGAGCUGGACAGAGGCUGGAAGCAAUGGAGGCCGCCGGCUGGGGUGCUGGGGGUGGAGACUGAGGAAGAUUUUAAAGAAGAAGUUAAAGGCAAACUUGUUUUAUCAUUUGAUUUGGGACAGGGUUUGGCCAUGUACAGUCACUUUCUUUCAAUUUGUCUUGAAAAUGGUGUUUUCUGUGAAGGUCCAACAGAGCUCUCUGACUUUUAUACAAUGAUUAGAAGUAUCAAAAAAAAAAAAAAACCAGCUAAGAAAUCUUAUUCUGUCAGAAUGAAUACAAGCAGGGCAUAGACACUGGGCUUCCUCCAGGGCCGAGACUUCCAGCAAUCAGGGCAGAUCCCCAACCCGAGAGACCUCCACUCUUCUGUCUUCUUAAUCUUAGCUUUGCUAAACAGGGCUCACUCCCCAAGCUACCUUGAAAGGAAGAGAGUAAAUGUGUCUUUCAUGCCAGCUUCCUCUGCCAUGUUGUGACAUGUUAGGUCUUUGAGCUACAGUCCAAAAAACUGAAAAGAGACAGAAGAGAGAGAGAGAGAGAGAGAGAGAGAGAGAGAGAGAGAGAGAGAUCACCUAUCUGAUCUGCAUAUUAACCUACCACAUUGAGCAAACAAAGGAGAUGGCAAGGAUUACUGUGGUCUUAUGUCUUCUGACAGGUGCUAGGGGCUGUAUUUCCACUUGCCAUUCUUGGGCACUGUGUAAAUGUCUCUAUCCCAGGGCCUGAGGCCUGGAUUCACUUCUGCAGGCUCAGAGCAAGCCAGACGCCACCACUGGGGACAGAACUGAACCAAGCCUGUCUCGGAAGCCUCUCUAGCUGUGCAGGGAGCAGACUGACGCCCCAGAGGGAAGCAGGGUGACUGUGGACAGCGCCCUCCCGUCUCUGCCUGGCACUCUGCACUCAGCAGUUUAUACCUGGGAUGCCAGGGGCACUGGCCGGAGCAGGCUGCCUCCGUUUCUACCAGCAGAUCUCCCGCACCCCGCUCAGAGUGCACGCACAGCGACCUGGAUCUUCCAGGAGGUCCCUUUGAAGGGAGCUUCCUUGGGCCUGACGCACCCAGCCUCACUCCUGAAGCUCUGACCACGCCCGUGUUCGUUGCACGGGCUGCUCAGGCUCUCCAGCAGAGCCUAACUGCUGAGCUCAGCCUCCUGCUCCCCCGUCCUAUUCCUGGACACCUCUUCCCGCCGCCCUCUCUCCUCCGGGCGCAGUCUUCUCUACAGUUAGCUUUGUCCCUCACUGUCUCUCACCUUCUCGGGCUUUCUGGCACUGUAACUUCCCUGGGGAUGGGCCCAAGCAUGUUUGCCCAGUGAGAUUUUGCUGUUUUGUCACUGUCAGGUACUUACAGCCCAGUUAUCAGUGGUGUGAAACUGCGUGUGUGUACAUGCAUGGAAAUGUGUGUAUGCAUAUGUGGGAAUGUGUGUGCAUACAUGGAAUGUGUGUGUGCAUAUGUGGGAAUGUGUGUACAUACAUGGAAAUGUGUGUGCAUAUGUGGGAAUGUGUGUACAUACAUGGAAUGUGUGUGUGCAUAUGUGGGAAUGUGUGUGAGUACAUGGAAAUGUGCCUUGUGUGCAUACAUGGGAAUGUGUGUACAUACAUGGAAAUGUGCCUUGUGUACAUACAUGGAAUUGUGUGUGCAUAUGUGGGAAUGUAUGCAUACAUAGGAAUGUGCAUGUGUGUGUAUGUGGGAAUGUGUGUGCAUACAUGGGAACGUGCAAAUGUGCACACACGGGGAUGCGUGUACAUGCAUGGAUGUGUAUGUGAGUACAUGUUUUCUCAGUUGUUUCUGAACCAUCAUUCUUGGGCCUGUGUAGCCACUGGAAAAGUACUUUCUGAUGUUAGGACCAUCAGGUUUUGUGUUUAGCUGUGACACAGAGUUUCAUCCUAAACAGACUGACCUGCCUCCACCCCUCUGGAACACUUCUGAAGUGAAGACAACUCUUUAAUUAGAUGUGAGAAAUCUUUUGCAACUCAACAAGAAAUCAAACAUUAGGGACAAGUUUUUCCAGCAGGUUUUGCUGGACCCUGAUUGGGGGGUGGGUCUGAUUUAGGGAGCCCCUGAUAGCAGGUCACAGCCAUUGAGACCUCCUUGGCCUCUUUACAGGAUAGUUACAGCCAAGGUGAGUGACCGAGGGAGGUUGCCCUGGGCUGAUUAAUUAGUGGAGUCCUGAUUAACUAGGCCAGAUGAGUUGUGCAGUCUCUGGGUCCAGUGAAGGUUUUCAGAGUUGCUGUACCUUUGGCAGCUGGUAGGACCUUGCAUUAGUCUGUGGCUGCCAUCACAAAGUAUCGCAGACUAGGUGACUUAGACCGCCUCGUGUGCUGGAGCCCAGAACCCCAAGGUUCCGGUGUUGAUAAGCAUCCCUUCCGCUUGCGGAUGGUGCCUUCCUCCUGUCUCCAUGUGGCUGUUUCCAAGUUUCCUCUCCUGAAAGGCACUGGUCCUGUGCAAUUGGGCCCCCUGAUGACCUCACUGGCGCAGCCUUCUGCUUAGAGACCUUGUACUCCUCCAGUCACACUCUGAGGUGCAGGGCGACAGGACUUCAGCAUAUGGACUGGGAGCACACAGGUCAGCCUAUGUCGGGGCUCAGCAGCUUUGAGGAGCCCUCUCCUCUGUCCUGCUGCCUGAACACUGGCUGCACAUCUCCUCUCUGACUUCGUCCAGGUGUUCCAUAUGGAUGAACCAAUUUUCUCCACACGCACCUCCUUGGGGUGGGAACUGUCAUCCUCACUUCACCCAAGAGGAAGCUGAGGCGGUGAAGCAUAACCUGUCCAGGCCGCAGCUGGGUGUGGCUCAUGCGCCCAGGGCCCUGCCUGGGGUGCCCAUGCCAGUGCCCCUACCCUGAGCCUGCAGCCUCAGCAGGCCGGCCUCCUGCGCCGCUGCUCCUCGGGACCCGAGGGUCAGCUCUGCAUGUGGCUUGGGACGGGGAGGAGCACAGGGCAUCCCCAUUUCACAGCCUGGGGUUAAAGGCAGAGCCUUCUGUGUGAGCUCCAGAACCCAAGAGAUAUGAGAGCUCUGGAGGAAGGGACCAAGGGAUAUUGCUCCCCGAAAGACUACCUCUUUGGAGGCAAAUAAGCUGUGGCAGAGAAACCACCUCUUCCCUUGGGGAGCAAACAAGACAGCCAUUUAAAGGUGAUAGAAAAUGACUCCUGAGGGGUCUUAAUGGUCAAGCUCAGGAAGAAUAUUUACGGGAACCUAAUAUUACAGUGGAAAGAGCGCUGCUCUGGGGUCAGAUGUGUUUGUGUUUGACUGUAAGUGCUGCCUCCUUGGGUAACAGGCUUUGGUCUCAGUUGCUUUUUCUGAAAAGUGGGUAUAUGGUAUCUCCUGCAGGGUCCUCAGAAGAUGAGAGAGUGUAAAGGGGUAGGGGUGGCAGUAGAGGGAGGGGAAAGGGAAGAAGGGAAAGGAAAAAUUACGAGAAAGAAAAAAAUGGAAACAAAGUCUGUGUAAACAGGGAAGGGCGGAGGGGGAGAAGGGCACACAGGGAAUGGGGAAAACAUAAGAACCGAGAUGCAUCGUGUGCAGGUGCAAGCGCCCAAUGAUAAAUGUAAACGAACUGUAUUCCUAAAAUGUACCAAUAAAUAUACAAAUCUUUCAAAACAGAUGAGAGAGUGUGUAAGCAAUGGGCACCCAGUGUUUAGUUGAUUUUAUUUGUUUUGUAAUAAAAAUCCUAGGCUGAAUUGUGGUAACCAAUUACGCACAACCGUAGUGGUUUGUAACUACACAUACGUCUCUUAGCAUGUGUCUGCCCAGGACUCCUCACUGCAGUGGAAAAGCCAUCGUCCUAAGCUUUGCCAGUCAUGGAGGCUGGUGGAGGCUACUGCACCAGCAAUGAAAUGCUUCGAUUUGGAGGGGACAUCUGCCCCUGCCAAUGGGUCAGUACCCAAGCCAGGUCACCCGGCUCCACUUGCCCACAAAGGGCCGUGAAGCACAGACACUCCGCUGCCUGGAGAGAGGCAUCCAGAAGCCUUAGUUACAGCAGCAACAAUGACCCCAGUCCUGAUGAGGUGCCCAGCAAACGGCCCCAACAUAUUACGGCUCCUUCUGCCAAUUCCGAAAGCAACUGUUCUCUGUUCUGUUUGCUCUUUUCCAAGAAAAACUUGGUUAAUACUAAUUAAUGGACUCAUUGACUUACUCACAUGUCCUCUUGCCCCUCACCCUUGGGGAAAGUUACCUCUGAAGAUCCCAAAGACCUUGUUAAGUCUGUGCAGAGGGGAGCUGUGCGGAUCGUGGAUGGAGAGGAGGCAUUUGACCACAGGCUCGGGAGGUUUCAUGCAUGUAUGACGCUGUGUUUCAGGCAGGGAACGAAGCCGGAGAUGGCUGUGUUUAUUUUGGAGCCUUACGAAAGGAUCACAGUGCUUUGCAUCACUGGCCUGAGGGUAGGGAGACCUCAGCUUCAGUGCUGGUCUCUCUCUUCCCCUUUUCAUAUAUCACGUUUACCGUUUUUGGCAUUUGAAAUGUUCGGUUUAGUCACAGUGAGCACGUUCGCAUGGUUGGACAGUCAGCUCCUCCUGCCAUUUCCAAAGCUUCUCAUCUUUCUGAACUGAAACCCAGCACCUGUGAAACACCCCCCAUCCUCCCUUGCCUCAGCCCCCAGCAGCCACAGUUCCACUGCCUGCCUCUAUGAAUCCACCGACUCCGGGGAGCUCACAGACAUCGAGCCGAGCGAACAGUAUUCCUCUUUUGUGACUGGCUUAUUGCACUUAGCACGAUGUCUUCGGAGUCCAUCCAUGGCCCUAGCAUGUGUCUGAGUAUCCUUCCUAGCAUUGUGCUGUGUGUGCACUCCACACUUGCUUGUCUUGUCUUUUCAAUGGUAUGUGAGCCACAGCUCCCUUUUAGCUGUUAGGAACAAUACUGCUUUAAGCACAAGUGUCUUGCAAGGCUAUUCCAGUGUUUGCUUUCCAGUUCUUGUGGACACAUACCCAAGUGGCAUUGCUGGGUCAUGUGGCAAUCCUAUUUGUAACUUUCUGAUGGCCUGCCAUUCUGUUUUGCAUAGUAGCUCGGCUGUUUUACAUUCUCAGUAGCAGCAUCUCUCUGACUUUUAACCCCCUGUCCGUCCUCUCCACAAAGAACUCGGGAGUAUUAGUUGCUUUGUUUCCCGUUAUUUGUACAAAGAACAAGGUCUUUCUUACAUCCUAGCUGUCACAACGUAAUUUGGCAUUUAUUGCUUCCUUAUCCUAGUUCACUUCAUAAUUUUGUUCAGAGGUCAUGGCUGCAGGCAGAGGUAACCCUUGAAAUCCUGAUAGAGAACGUGUGAAUGCAGAACUUAUCCUUUGUAUGCCUUUAUUGGACUUUUGUCAUUUUUUUAUUACCAUUAAUAUACUACCUGUGCCAUGGGCUAUCUAUCACUGAAUUUCUUCAAGAUCCUCAGCAACAGUGAGUAAGAGAUGUCUGCAAAGUCUAAUAUAGAAACAAAGUCCCGUAGGGAUUUGUGAGAAUAGAAUUAAUUCGAGGCAUGCUUUUGAUUUGAGUUAGCGUCUGACCUGUAGGUGUGGUAGAUGCAUCUGAGGACACAUGAUUGUACUGGGAAAAAGCCACUUGGGGAAAAUCGCUAAUCUUGGACACUCACCUCCCCUGGCCCAUUUUCCACAGGACUCUUGAUGCCGGUAACUAUCCCAUCAGUGGAAGGCCUCUAUUUGCUCACUAGUUUUUAAUCCUCUUUCACUUUGGAAGCAGUGACUUUCUCCACAUCUUGUGAGUCCUAAGCCUGAGAAUGUUCUGAUGUCGGCAGAUUGUGUGCUUAGCCUGUGGCAGCAGGUUCAAAUGCUUACAGGGCUGGGUGUGAAGAUGACAGCAACAAGCCUUUCUGUAGUCUGAUGUCCAUGGCUGCAGUCAGGCUGUCGCCAUCAGCACUGUCGGAGCAAACAGCCAAUGCCUACCCAUGUGCUCAGCAUCCAGGCAAAGCAGCCUGUGAUGGCCCAAGCCUGUGAGAACAAAGGCUGACACAGACAUCGCACAGGUAGGAGACCCAUUGGGAUCAAGAGUCUCCGGGAAUGCAGGGAGGGGAGCUUCCAGAGAGCAGGCUGUAAUCUUCCCAGGGAUUUGUUUUCCAGUGCAGUAGCCAGCCGGGAGUACAGGCCUAUGCUGGGGUGGCCUUGUCUUCCAGUGUCACUGAGGGUCUUGCAUCAGCAAGACAGCGCUGCUUCUGCAGGGGACACCUGAUGCCACUGCUUGCAGAAUCCUGUGAUCUCUUAGAGGUGUGGUCUGGGGCCUCCAAAGCCACGCACCUGUCCCCCCAUACCAGGGUGGGCAGGCAAACACAUCUAUAAUCUGCUCCUGACAGCAUCUCUGUUUAAUUCUCACUUGGCUUUUUUUUAUUUGAAAGGAAAAAUAAAUCCCCUCUAAUCCUCUGUAGAAGUGUUGGGAUUGGAGCUGGAAUCACUGAAAUUCUGUGUUGUCUAUUAAAGUAAUGUGAAUGUAAACCGUAAAACCUCUGAAGACAUGGGUCUGAGCUCACUCCUGUACUUCACGCUGUUGUAUUUCUGCUCUAUGAGCUUUGUUUUGUGUUUUAUUUUUGAGGCAAGGUCUUGCUAUGUUGCCCAGGCUGCUCUGACUCGUGAGCUUAAGUGGUUCUCCCACCUCAGCCUCCCAGCUAGCUGAGACCUCACCACCUCCAGCAACCAUGUCCAGCUAAAAGACUAGGUUUUUAAACCAAGAAUCAAAAUAAAACCCAGCGGGGUGUGGUGCCGCAUGCCUGUGAUCACAUCAUGCAAACACCGGGAGGCUGAGGCAGAGGAUCACAUGUUCAAGCCCAGGGUAGGUGACUUAGCCACAUAGUGAGACCUUGUCUCAGAACUGUCUCAAACAGAGCUGGGAAUGGAGCUCAGCGGGAAGAUCCUGAAUUCAAUGCGCUAUCACCACCACCACCACAAAAAGAAAAGAAAAGAAAGGAAAAGAAAGAAAUUUGUCUUAUGCUAAGUAGACAUCUUAGUUAUUGUUGAAUAAUCACCCUCUCCUGUCCUUAAAAAAGCUGACCUCAGCAGUGUCUAGUAGCUACUUCAAAUAACAGGUUCAGAUAGUUCCAACUGAGUUACUAUUGACAUUUUAUAUAAAGAGCUCUGGUCAAGGCUGACAUUGCUGAGUACACAUUCAUACAUCCUCUCUGUGAAGGAGGACUGAGUGGCUAUUUUAUAAAUAUAAGGGCAUGGAAUUAAAUUUUACAUUAGCUACUUUUAAUAUGGGCUACUUAAUAGCACUAUUGUAUCGUUCAGUGUGAAAGCACUCAUUUUGGUGGAAGAGACUCUGCUCUCAUUAAGCCAGCAGAAACCUAUGUGGGCUGAAUUAAUAGCUAACAAAACAGAGGCAACUGCUUCAUUUGCAAAACGCUGAACCAUUGAGAGGAUCAAUCAGUAGGGGGUGGUGUAAUCCACCAACACUGACAUUUCUGCAGGGUUCUGUUGAUGCAUCUGAAUGCAAAAUUCUCCAGGAUUUUUUUUUCAAGUGCAUUAAAGAGAAAAGUAUCCCAGCAGGAGCUUAAUAAAGGAUUUCCUUCUCCUUUUUUUGACUUUUUAUUUUUGCACCAGGCUUCAUAGUUUUAGAAAUCAUUUUGAAGUCAAUGUUGUGAAUAUUAAGUAGGGAAGGGAAUGAAGACAUGCUGUAACCUUAUAAUAAAAAUCAGAUACUACCCCUUUCCCAUUGACUGCAUGGCAAGUGUGAUGGCUUCAAGAAUGGCUACUCUGAUCUUGUUAAAUGAGCAAAUUGGGCAAUAAUGGUUAAACGUUCGGCAGGCACAAGGGAGAGUAUAGCCAGUGUGGCUUUGUGAGGGGCUUUAAUCUCCAGGGCAUCAACUUGAACCUCCUUCAAGAGACCAAAGAUGUCCUGUUGCUGCUGAAUGAAACCAAACAUGCCAGUGUUGCCCAUAACAACAGUUGCUAGGCGACCUUUGCCAGUGUGUGAGGGGUGGGAAGUACUGCAGAUCAUGGCACUAUUUAUCAUCAUACACCACAGUCUUGUUUAGGGAAAGGCCUGACACAUGCAGUGAGGAGCCACAUGAUAGAAAUGUCAUGCACACACAGGACAAGGAAGGCGUUCGGGGAAAUCAUACAUAGUCGCCACGCUUACGUCUGUGUGAUUUCUCACUGGAGCUUCCAUUGUGGCAUUGCAGUUGUGUGACAGUGCGAGAUUUACCCUGUGACCAUGAGCCUCUCUCAGGGGUGGCUGGAGGGGAAGCAAAGACAGCAUGGGUGAAAUAAUGAAGGUCUUAUUGCUGUGUCACUACUGGGAUUGGGGCUCCAGCAGCAGUCAACUAGUCCCAUGCCUCGUCAGCAGACAGCCCAAGUGAGCAUGCAGACCUGGAGCGUUCUCUGGCCAAGUCUACGAUCUGAUUUACAGGUAUUCUACCAUAGGACUGCCUAUGUUUUCUUUUUUGGUACCGGGGAUCAAACUCGGGACCUUGUGCUUGCAAGGCAGGCAGAGGAACCGCUGAGCUAAAUCCUGGCCCUAGUACUACAUACUCUGUAAAGACAUUACACCAGUUCAGCAAAACGUUUGCUGAACAGAUGAGCAAAACGUAACCAGAGCCCAAGAAGGGAUUUCCAAAAAUCACACUGCUCUGCGAGCAGGCGCUCAGAACAUUUUCUCUUCUUCCCUCUCCCCUUUUUCCUCCUGUCCUCUCUGCCUCUUGGCCAGGCUGUGCAGUCUGAGCAGCUGAGCUGAAUUCGUAGUUUGGAAAUUUCCUAUAGAUCAGUAGAAACCUGCCUGCCCCACCCUGCCUUUGCCAGGUUUGAAAGAACAACUCUCAAGAAGAUUUCUUUUUUUAACCAAUUUAAAAAACAUUUUUAAUUAGAGCAAAUUAAAGAGGUCACAAAUUUAUUAAUCCCUGUAGUGUUAUGCAACAUGAGCAGAGAUUUCAACCCCUAAACAAUGGCGCCGUGUCAGCACAAGGAACACAGAGGGGAUGCAUCUGCAGAUGUUUUCCUGUGCAGGCGCCAGAUAACGACAAUGACAGCAGCUUCAGGCUAAAACGUCAGGUUACCUUUCUGUGUUCAAAAUAUUACAGUCCCAUUCUAAGACACUUACAGGGCACACGGAGGGAAGAGUGGGAAAAGAAAAGAAAAGAAAAGGGAAAAGAGAAGCAGCUACGUAACAGGCCCUCUGGACAGAUGAUGGGGCAGAGAUGAAUUAUUUUCUCAGGAAGAAAUAGUGAGCGAAGACCGAAUGGGGCAUGGUGGUGGAGACCCUGGCUCUGGGAGCAGGACUGGACUCCUGGAUUGUUUCCACCAUUUAUUGCCGAGCCACAUUGGACCAGGCAUCUAGACUGCACACGCCUCUACUUCGCCUGUAAGCGCAGGCACAGAAUUACAUCUGCGUGGCAAAGUGACGCUGAGGAUGAGAUGGCGUCCAGGACGCAUGGUGCUCAGCACACAGCCUGGCAGGCGGUGAGGUGACAGCAGACACCAUCAGGCUGCAGUUGGUGCCCUCUUGUUAGGGUCAGUGGCUGGGCAGGAGCUCCUGGCAGGACUCCGGGAGGGAGCAGCCUGUGGACUUGGCCAGGGCUCCUGGGGGCUGCACUGACUGCCUGUCCCGUCACUGAGGAGACACUGAGCAGAGGCAGGUGGGAUGCGCUGCGGCGUGGGACCUGCUGUGGGACCGAGGGGCAACACGGGUGGUGCCGGCCGCAAGGGCUCCCAAAGCAGCUGAGCAGCCAAGGCCGUGCGCUGUGCUUCCAGGAGAGGCAUGGGCAGGCCCUCGGCUGGCAGCCUGGGCGGCCUGCUGAGCAGGAGUCCAUAGCGGCUUCCCGGGAGGGACGUGAGGCAGGCAGCGCUAGCCUGGCACUCACUAGUUCCUCAUACUAUCCCGUUACAUUGCUUCGAGAGCCACAGAGCACACCCCAGGCUGGGACCCUCACUUUUUCUCUUUCUAAAAAAGAAAAAAAUUCAUGCUCAAAAUAUGUAAUUUGGGCAGGGGAUUUAGCUCAGUGGUUCCGCCACCUGCCUGGUCUCGAGUUUGAUUCUGGUUAUGUAUACAUAUAUAUAUAUGUAUAUACAUAUACAUAUAUCUCGCCCCUGAUGACUGGGCCAGCCCAAGAAGUACGAGAAACACGAUGCGGCAGUGCCUGUCUUCUGCCCUAAACCCCACGUUCUAGGACCCCGGCCCACUGUGCUCAGGCUGGAUUUGCCCGGCCAUUCACCCUUGUUCCUUCUGGCUUCAGUGCAGCUGUGGGGAAGGCCCUUCCCAGGUGGCCAGGAGCUCACUUCAGGGACUGCACCUUGCGGACCCAGCAAGCCUGAGCCCCCACCACACGGUGGCUACCCUUUGCCUUUCCCUGUCCCACUCCUGCCCACUGAUGCCAGGGAUUGGGGUUUCUCACUGAUAAACUACUCACACCCUGAGCUCCGGGAACCAGACUGAUGCAGUUUUGUCAGGCUUCAACAAAGAAGCUCCAAAAUCACAACGUAAAACUUCUAAGGGUCAGUUUCAUAUUCAGAGCUGUUCAUUUUGCAUAUUUUGUAAAUGAGAGGGUUCCACUGGGAUUCAAAGUUCAAUGGGGCAGGGGCCGGGGAUUUAGCUCAGUGGUUCCAUCACCUGCCUCAAAAGCACAAGUCCCGAGUUCAAUCCCCAGUACCGAAAAAAAAAAAAAAAGAAAAAAAGGUAAACUAGAAUUCAAGGGGCAGAAAAGGCUGGAUUUUGCAAUGGGUUCUAAAUGGGCCUGACUGUGGUGGAGCCAAGUGGCCCAUGUCCUUGAGGACAUGCUGCUCCCUCCCAGAGGUCCUGCCCCAGUGCAGGCCAUGCUGAGCACAGCACAGAGUCCUCUCUCUCUCUCCUCUCUCCUCUCUCUCCCUCUUCCCUCUCUCUCUCUCUCUCUUCCCUUUCCUGGAUUUGCACAGCAAUGUACAGUGUGGUCCUUCAUGCCACAAAGCAUUGUGGGAGGUCAGCAAGGACCUCAGGCUGAGUCAGGGGGAACUGAGCUCAUAGAUUCUGUCACAUCUCCCUAGAUGCAUCUCAGCAUCUUGCCACUGCUUAGUGGCAUGUGCAUGGGUUUGGAGGGUAUGAAUUCCUAGAUUUGAGUCCAGACUUUUUUCCUUGGUUGCUUGGUGGACGUGAGCAAGUCACACCAGCUCUCUGGCCUCAGGUCCUCCUUUGGAAAGAGGAGUUUUGACCCUAAGAUGUAUACUUAACAGAGUGGCUGUUGGCACACAGGCAAAGAUGGAUAGGAGAGUGCUCAGAAAACCAAAGGGAACCCAAAAAAGCGUUUGUUGUUAAUUUGUAGCAGACAGAGAAGGGAGGUAGGAGAAAGAGGGAAGAGGAGCGGUAAUAAGACCCCUACCUAUGGCGGCUGUUCCGUCCUCUACACACGCUCUGCCCCUCUUGGCCAUUCACGACCCCCUCCGCCUCCGCCUGUCUCUUCACCUGGCUCCCUCCGCUCUUCCUCAGGUCUCAGCUUAAAGCCGCCAGGAAGCCUUCUCUGUCUCGCACUUGAGGAGGUCUCUGGCAGGUGCCUCUGUGCCCCUGUGCUACCUUGAACUGGACCUGUCAGGGCCCUUCUUCCUACCUUAAUCCUGCUGCCUGAGGAUUGCCUUCAUCGUCCACAGCACCAUGAAGCCAGGGCCCCAGUCCCGGCAGCACUUCAGUCCUGACACAGUGCUUAGCACAAAGCUCAGGAUGCUCGAGCGCACUGAGAAAUGAGAAACACGUGAAUGGCUAUGUCCUCAGACCACUUCAGGGUUGAGAAGGAGAGUUAAAAUGCUUGUGCUGAGUGAGUCAUCAACCUCAUCAGUAAAUAAAUACUCUCAGUACCAAAGUACCACAGACCACCGGGUAGAGCAUAUCACUUAUGUGUGUAUGGCUAUUACGGCUUCUUUAUUCAAGUUCAGAGUGAAGGGGCCCAGCUUUUUUGGUGGCUAAGGGAGCCCUAAACCCUAUGCUCCUGAAAGCCUGAUCUGUUGAAUAAAUUCUGCUUAUUUAGAACAUAUUGAGGCCUAAACAAAAGCCAUCAGUGGUUUCUCGCAUCACUGAACUGCGGAGUGGGCUUGAAACCCUGAAUCCCUAUUCCACGGGGCUCAAGGAGACUCCAUCUUCAUUUAGGGUUAAAGUCAUAACAAACAUUAUAACUGUGAAUGACAGAAUUUUAGACAACUUUGGCAUUUAUAUAGCAUGCUUUUAAAAAACAAAACCCUAACAUGUAAAUAUCAGAAGUUUUACUACUCUGUACUUAGUGUCUAAAUCUUCAAGUCAGGUUUUUAGGGUAAAUCUCACUCCAUGAAGAACAGUCCAGCAGCUUGUCUUAGUGGUAAUUUAACACAGAGGUCCUAACUUGUGUUACUCAAUUUGUCACUGCAGGGAGAAUGGCAACUGUGUUGAAUGUGGCAGAUAAAAUGGAUGCAUUCAAAGCCAAACUAGAAUUAUGGGGUAGUGAGCAAACACUGAGAUUUUUGACAUAUUUCAAACAUUAGCAAAGAUUUUAAGAGACUGAAGUGGGCCUUUUUCUCCCUGCUAGUAUAUAAUAGCAUAUCUCAACUUUCAAGAGUUUGAGCAUUGCUUCUCCAUUACAAAAGACUGCCCAGAUGGGAAGGAAUGAAUCCAUGACUCAUUUAAGAAUAAGCCAGGUGAAUUGACUUUGUGCUUAGAAGAUCAGCUACUUGAGCUUGCAAAUAAUGGUGGCCUUAAAAGUAUGUUCGGGACAACUUCAAGUCUCCACGUGUUCUGAAUUAAAGUCAAGGCAGAAUAUCCUGAAGUUGGCACAAAAGUACUGAGAAGCCUGCUCUCAUUUCUAACAUCCUAUCUUUGCGAAGCAGGAUAUUCUACAGUGACAGCAACUAAAAUGAGAUUAUGGAGUAGACUGAACACUUCAGGAGUCACUGUCUCCCCUCGCCCCCAGAUGGGACCAUCUAGCCACAGAAAAACAAGCUCAGGGCUCCCACUGAUUCUGCAUUAUGGUGAGAUGUAUAAUUAUUUUAUUAUAUAGCACAAUAUGAUAAUAAUAGAAACAAAGUGCACAGUAAAUGUAAUGAGCUUUGAAUCACCCUGAAAAAACCCCACCCUUGUCUGUAGAAAAAUUGUCUUCCAUGAAACCUGUCUCUGGUGCCCAAAAGGUUGGGAACUGCUGAUUUAACACACCUGUAUGUGCUCUAGAAAUUUCACCUGUAUGUAGCUCAUGGCAGCUGUAAUAAGUAUGAGCACUACCACAAAUAGCUCAAUAACAGGUACUGAUUUUUCUGCCAAAUUAAAAAAGACUAUGAAGGAUAUGAGGUGAGUCUUUGAUACAGUUGAUGUCAAAUUAUGACCAAUAUGAUCAGUACAUCUUGUGAAGGCUGCAAGUCCUAAAGGAGCAUAACCCAGGAGGCAUGAUGACUUUGUAAAACAACAGACAGAGCUGUAAUAAUACACUGGACUAGCAUGCAUGAGGGCCUGGGUUCCGACAAAGAAAUGAAAAUGAAAGAGGGAAGAAGGGAGGAGGGAAGGCAAGGGAAAAUAAACACCUUACGGUGGGCUCCAAAUACGAGAUAGUUUGAAACACUUGGGAUUUGUCACUUCCUUAGUUUCCCUUAAGGCAGAGGAGCAGGUUUAGAAGAAGAACGCAGGGGUUCGGUCCAGAGCUCUGCAUCAGUUUAAGAUGCCCAGGUGGGGCAAUGCAUGCCGGUGGUGUGGGCAUCCCUUGCUCAGGAGUGAGGUCUGUGGUGUAGGGUGAAUGUGGACACGUCAGGGUGCCAUGCCGCGCAGAGCCAUGGGCAGGAGGCAGUGGUCCCGGGAGUGUGGCUGCAGGAAGUGGGAGUCUCAGCAUGGCCCUGAGACACUGAGCAGAUGAGGUGCUCCCAGCGCCUCACACCCUGUCAGGCCUGCUCCGCAGAAGAGCACCUGGGGAAACACAGGCGUGCUCGUCAGCGUGCGAGGGGCCACCUGCGGGCCUCCUCAGGCUUGUCUAGUGUGAGGGUUGCCACCCCGGGCCAGAUGCCCUAGUCGGCACCACCGCUGUGGGGACCUGCGGUACAAAGCCCCUCCAGGGCCACAGGAGCAAUGUUCCCUUGGUCUCUCCUGCAUUUGCUCCUGGAAGUGGAAGCCUCUGAUGUACUCCAGAGAACGCCUGGAGAACCCACUUGCUCUCAAACUGGGACUGUUGCUCACGUUAACAGAAAGAAAUGCUACCACCCUGUAAACACUCUUGGCUCUGCAGGUCCCUGGCCGUGGUCCCACGGUCUCCUUUCCACGCCGGGAGUCUGGAGACUGGCCUGGCCCCUCGGCACCUGGCUGGCCCACAGUGGGUGCACUGCUGGGAAAGGCUGCUCCCCUUUUCAGGCCCUUCCCACUUCCCUGCCCCUGUGUCGGGAAACACUGCAGCCUCAAUCCCUGCCUUUCUGUUCCCUUCCCAUUUCCUCCCUUUUGCAGCCUUUGUCACCUUUUUAAUCUUCAGAUUGUGUGUGAUUUUGCCUGUAAGUCCUGCAGAGAAAUAAAAUAAGCCUCAUCACCACCUUCUUUGAUGAGGUCACUUUCAUCUUUAAGUAAUAAGAACACUAAACCCCUCUUGACCCCUCUGAGCCCCUUCAUGGGACCCCGUAUCACAGUGUCUCUUACUGUCACCGCAGCUCGUGAAACACAGGUCUUAUGAUUGGUGCUUUGCCGAUGGGUAGACUAAAACCCAGAAACCCAAAGUCAUUUGGCCAAGCCCAUUCAGUGUGAAGGAGGAUUUCCUUCAGCAUUGCUUGUCCUUGCGUUGACAGCCUGGUCUGGGUGUGUGCCUGUUUGGCAGUUUGCCCACUUGGCUGUUGGCUAACCAUCAUCAGUGCCCCCUGCUGACCUAGGGGAAUCUGUCACCAGGGAAGGCAAGAGUCCCUCUUCCCACAGUGGAAAUAAGAUGCACCAGGCAUUCCUUGUCUUACUCUCUCCCAGCUGGACACAGACUUGAGACCCAGCAGAUUGGAUGCCUGCUUUGUCCUCAGUGUCUUCAGGGACAGCAUGCCACUUUGGAGGGCAGGAGGAUCAGAUAUAAGGAGACAGUCCAGGUUUCAGUGGCAGCACCAAGUGUCCAGUACUUGGGGCCAGGGGCAGUGCCCUGACUGUGAUCAUGAAGACCACCUAGACCCCAGGUCUCACCCAGCCCCAGGUCUGAUCCUCUAGUCUUCUCAGUUCAGUGAGUCCUCACAUCUUUCCAGUAAGGCCUCUGGCUCGACUCACCCAGAACUGCUUUCUUGGACUACAAUCAAGAGCUUAUUAUCCAUGCUGCUGAGAAAUCCAGCCAGUGGUCCACUGAUGGGUUUUCCAUUCAAAAACAGAUGUUCCUAUACAGAUCCUUCGUGAGACUGAGGACAAAAUGGGACCAAGGAAAAGGAGUUUUCUUUGCUCUUCUUUGGUGUUAAAUGGAAGGCCAUGACAGCAACAAGACCAUUAGAAAGUCCUUGAGAAUGUGAAUGAAAGGUUCACAGAGACUCGGAGGAUCGGGGGGUAGGUGGAGUUCUUUGUUUCACUUUCUUCCUGGCCCUACCCAUUUCUUGCUGUGCAAUUUAGUGCUUCCCUUUUGCAUGGAUUAUUCCAUUUUUAAAUGUCAAAGGUUGGAUUGGCUGCCUGAUUCCUAGAAGGAUCAUGACUGGACAUAUCUUGGAAAGGGGGUUAAGGCUUCUGUUUAUUUUUGCAGGGCUUAGAAAGUCAUGGCAACUCAAUCCUAAUUACUUCUUUUGCCUACCAGAUGGCAAACCCAGAAAAUAUUGCCAAGGACAGAAGAUACUCUGCUGUACUCUGGGGUUCUCUAAAUCAUUUCUUUAAAUGUUGCAGCAGAACAGCUGUCUUGGGCUAACUGAAAAGUCCUUGGAAGAGAGCUCACCUACCAUGCAGAAACAUGUGGCCAGGGCUGCUUCUGUAAAACACAUGUUAAUAGGUAUAAGGAAUUCUCAGGAACAAUAAUAUAUUGCAGCACCAAAUGGACAAUUGUUAACACUGUCCAGAAAAACAUGUUAUUAUGUGACACAGGAGUAGCUCUAAAGCACCUCCUAGCAAUGCAGAGAUAGGUGUGUGUCUUAGUUACUUUUCUGGUUGCUGAGACAAAAUACUUCACAUUCACAGUUAAAGGAGGAAAGUUUACUUUGGUUCAUGAUUUGUAGAGGUUUCAGUCCAUAAUCAGUUGCUCCAAGGCAGGGUGGCAUGGUAGACAGGCAUCACAGAGGAGAAACAGUUCAUGGUGGGCAGAAGGCAGCAAAGAAGUGAAGAAGCAAAGCACCAAGCAGUAAAUGGCCAGCAACAAGGAGCAAAUGCAGCAGCUCUUUCUGUCCCUUAUAUCUUAUUCAGGCUAUCAUAUAGCACUCACACCCUUAAUCCUAGCACCUGUAGAUCAAUCCCAACAUCACAUCCUUGACCCCAGUACCACACACUUUAGGUCCAGCCACCUCUGAAAAGCCCUAUCUGUGACUGUGUGAGGCUUUAGGGGGACAUCUGGACACAGCCACAACAGUGUGUGUGGAGAGGUCACAGGGUUGGGAUGCUGCCAGAGGACCACUUAGGUUACCCACAAAGCCCCUCACUGCUGCAUCACUGACCUAGAAAAAGCCAUGUUGCUCAAGAACAAGAAACUGCAGUAGAGUGAGGGCAGAACUAAAACAGAACCAUUCGUUUUUAGCAACAGAUCAGAAACAAGAGAGUUACAAAAGACAGUUGAUAAAGAUAAAUGCUUUAAAGUCAGACCUUGGAGCAAUUUCAGUACAAGUUAGCAAUUCUCUGUAAUCCAUGGAUCCUCAAAGAGAUUCAGAAACGACUAGUCUAACAUAGAGCCACAGGGUCUGUUUGCAGAUGUUGGACCGUGUAGGAUGGGGCAUCUAAUCAUGAAAGGUUAGAAGAUCUGAAUGCCUGGCACAGAGGGAGCUCCCCAGCUGCUUGGUUCAAAGUUCUAGCCAUCUUAAUAGGGAACAUGUAGGUGUUAGCAUCAAGCUCACACUGUCAUCAAGUUCUAUUUCCAGAAUAAGACCAGGGCCCAGGUCACUAAAACACAAGACCUGCUUUGGCAUCAGAAAUGCCUUUAGGAGGCUGCCCAACCCUAGCCCUCUGGGCCCCCAUUUUGGUGCAUAAAGUCUGAGCACUCCCUGUGGCUGCCUGGGAUGAAUUUCCUCACGCCCAAUUUCAUAUCAACCUCAGACUCCUUCUGAGGGGUCCAGCAGACCAGCAGAGGAGAGGAGCCACUGAUAUGAACUUUCUGUAAACACAAAGAGAGGACAGCUAGUCUCUGAUGCUCAGAACUCACAGACAUUUCAGCUGGCACUGGCAGCAGUCAAUCCGGAAACAAUAGGCUGCAGUGGUUGCUUCACUCAGUGCUGGACUUUCCUCCUCUUCCCAGAAGUCCUAGCGAAUGGGGAAUCAAUAUACCAGAUGCUUAUCUUCAGAAAGGUAAUGUCAAGAGUUCAGACAAGAAAGAUUCACUUCAUUUAUCUACUUGUCUGGGGCUGAGCACAGUGAGUGGAUGUUGCAUUCUCUGUUGGUCUCAGGGCCUGUAGUUUGUUUUCCAUGCCAUCAGCUGGGGAGUUCUUCCUUGGCCCUUUAUCUUAGUGCAACAGCAGAGGACAGAUGUUUGCAUAUUCAGCAAUGGCAAAACAUUGCAGACUUAGAAUCUUUUCUCUGAAUGGCAUUGAUUUACUAUUGCUGACUCACUUUCAAAAACAUCUCUUCAGCCUUUUAAAAACCUGAAGUAGAUUCUGACUCUGACUUCAGCUCUACACAAUGCAGAAGCCAAUCGCAUGCGUAGCUGUACAGCUGAACUGCAGCUCUAUCUACUUCUCCUUAUCUGCCAGCCAUGCAAAGUACAUUCUUUUGUAGGGAAGCAAAGCCAGACAGCCCUUGGCUUGCCUGGUUUUAUUCUUUUCUAGUCUGUUCUUAUCCUUGUGAAUUUGCAAAGCUCUUAUAUCCUGUUCUAACUACAACUACAGAUAACUGAGUUCUGUGCAAGGGGAAUUCCAUGGAAUCAAAUUGCUCUGAAGUUAUAUAUUUUUGCUCCUCAGUGGCAGGAGAAGAAUGAAUAGUACCAAUAACACCUUGCAAUGACACCUUACCUUGUCCCAGUUAUCUCUAUAUGCAUUGCCUUUAGUUUGCAGUGAUCCUGCAGGGCAGAUGCCAUUCCUAUUUUACAAAUGAAGAAACUGAGUCUCUGAGGAGGUUAGAAAAUGCCAGAGUCAUCCAACUAUUAUGUGUCAGAGCUGAUUGGAAAGUCUGUAUUUUUUCUAAUAUUCAAACUGAACAACUGAAAUUAUUGUCUAGGCUUAGAAAUACCAAUGACAGCUCGGGGGAAUCUCGAUAAUAACACCCAUUGAAAGGAAAGACGACUAAUAUUUAUUGAGCACCUACCAGGUGCCAGAACUUGUGUGCAUAUCACCUUCAAAAUCCUCAUAAUAAUUUUGUAAUUUAGAGAGUACUUUUUAUCCCUGUUCUACAAACAAGGAGACUGAGAUCUGGAAUAGCUAAAGAAAUAAAGAAUAACUGCAUAUUUGGAUAAUAUCAAGGGGCCAUCACAGAUGAUUGACGUAUACUUUUUCAGUUUGCACUUAGAAGCUGGCACUCUGUGUGGUACUUUGUGAUACACAUGGAUGAAAUUGCCUAAUAACAUUUCUUAGAUUAUAUUUCCAUCACAUGUCACAUGACUGUAUUGAAAUUUAAAUUUAAAAAAAUUUUGGCCUAUGUGGAGUCUACUAGCUAAUUAGAAUUUUUUCUCCAGACCACUAAAAUUUGUCCAAUAUUAGUUUUGAAAAUCUUUCUAAAACAAAUCACAUCUUCUGAUGUCUUGUUAAUGCUUGAGAUUUUUUUUUAAUUAUAUGGAAAAAUGUUCAAGUACUUUUCAGUUUUGCUUUGGUUGAGUUCCAUUAUAUUUGAAUAUUAUGAUAGGUUUUUUCCCUUGCAUUGUUUUUCUUUAAAUAAUUUUAAUUUUUGUAUAUGUGUAUGUUUAGUGAACGAUUUAAUAAAGUUGUACAUUAAAAAAAAGAAAGAAAUUUUCUCAGGAAAUACAAGCAGUAGUUGAUGGAGCUGAGCCUUAGAUCCAGAUCUGUGGUCUCUAGAUUCCAAACCUUGACCAUUCCUCAGUGGUGACACUUGGCAAAUGUGUACCCAAGUUCACUCUACAUUUGUCUGCAGUGCUCUGGGGAGAGGGUAGACAUUUCUGACUUGGGGAAUGAACCACUGCAGUGAAUCAUAAUAGAAUACAAGGAACAGACACACACCUUUGAUAGACGUGCAAGAUGCUGUGAGUAGAAAGAUGGGCCGGGACUAUGAGCCACUGAGAUGGGAAACCUCCCUCACAAUUAGAGCAGUGGCCUCGGUAAGCAAGGAUGAAACGGAGCAAACUGGAUUUUCCACCAGUUCUCAGAGGGCAUGAACUCAACUUUUAUAGUUCAUAGGACAAUUCGAGUUUUGAGUUGGGGCAGAAUGACCCCUAGGAGAGGACAGGCUAGCCAGAUUGUAUGAGCCUUCAGUUUUGUCUCAACACGGUAGCUCUGGGGAGUCAGAGUCUUAGUUUUAUUUUUGAUAUAAAACGUAUUUGAAUUAAAUUGCUUGGUUUUCGAAAUUAAAAACUGUGUGUGUGUGUGUGUGUGUGUGUGUGUGUGUGCGACCUGUUAGGACAGCUGUGAUGUAAUGGGCCCUAGAAAUCCCAACAGGAUAUUCGAAUUCAUUUUAUUAGAGUACAUAAGUUUUUCUGGUUGUCAUACCUGAUUAUAGUUUUUAAAAUGGGGCCUCUUAAAGGCAAGGAAAAUUCCCAUAGACAGGUGCUUCUAUUAGACUGUAAGGUGUCACUUCACACUUGUACGAUGGUUUAGCUGAUAUUGUGGGAAUACUUAGCAUCUGAAACUAAAGACAAAGCAAGCUGGAGCAGCCUGAUGCAGAAGAUUUGGGAUCUGAACCAACUUGCGUCUGUCCCUCUCCAUCUCCACUUUGGAUUGUGAAGGCUUGGAUAUAGUUUUUCUUGAUAAAAGAAAUUAAUUGCAUAUAUUUUUCAAUUACUAAAAAAUAAACAAAUGGAAAUUGGUGAUUUGUAUUAAUCCAGAAUUUAAUCUGCUUUAACUCAAUUACUCCAGAUAUGUGAAUUCCCCGUUGGGUUGAUUAUAAGUUGACUCAAAUUUAUUUUUUAUUGUUUGGCUUAUAUCAGAAGCCUGCAUUUUAUAAACCUAAGCUACAUUCUUAUUUUUAAACUCCAUUUUCUCCAAUAAAUUUUAUUCCACAUUUUGCGCCCUAUUUUGGACACAGCUCUAUACUUUUGCUUGAGAAAGCAGGGCUACCAAACUCUUCUCAUCGACAAAAUUAGGCAUUUGUAAACUGGCUUAUGAGUAGGUGACGGCAUAAUUAAACAUCCAAACCAGAGCACUUGUGAGAGUCAAUGGGAGCAUUAUUAAUUCUGCUCAGCAAUAGGAUUAAACCAAUGGUCCCAAUCAAACAAAAACAUACGGUCACCAUGCUUCUCUGAAAACAUCGUCAUUUUAUACUUUCUGUGAGCAUAUAAAAAAGGAUUUGAAUUUCCACACCAUCGGCUCUGCAAUAAAAAUAAUGGUAGAAGAUUUCCAACAUGAUCAACAAUGUUGAGUAUAAAUUGGUUUGAUUAAAAUGUAGUUUGAUGAAAAUUUCUGGCUAGAAAGCUUCAUUAGGAAAAAUGGUUCAGAGGUUAUUAUUUUCAACAGAUACCUAGCAGUGCUGUCUCACACCUCCUGUGAACCAGAGAUCUAUGCUAGAGGGUAAGGAUGCUAAAUGUGGUAAACAGACAAGAGUCUAGUCCAUUGCAAGGCUUCCUUGCAAUGUAGGGAAGAAUGCAGAUGAAUAAACAGACACUUCAGUUACUUUUGAUGCCUAAAGAAAGGACAUCAUGAGAACACGAAAGGAGGCCACCAUGUCUUGCAGCCGUGGUGUAAGGGGCGUCCAGGGAGAGCUUACAGAGAGAUCGGAGUAAGCAGUGAACAACACGGCGGAGUGCCACAGGCUGCCAGAGGAGCAUGUUCAAAGGCCUGGAUGCAGCGGGAAGCGGGCACCUUUGGGGUUGGAAGUAGAUCCAUCUGCCUCCUGUGCAGCUCUGGGUGGGCGCGCUCAAGCCACCGGGCUGGGUCUUGACAGGUCUUAAACCUGUGAUGAGGAGUUCUAACUUUGCACUGAGGGUAACAAGGAAGCGAGUGCUUGUGAGGGAGAUCUGUCGGUCUGGGUGUAAGGAGCAGAUCCGGGCGUAGGCGAGCCAGAGGGCAGGAAGGCAAAGCAGCAGAGCAGGAAGAGGGGAACGGUGGCGGUCUGGAGGGAAGGCAGCGGGCGCGGAUGAAGAGACACUCCGCAGGGGGUCAGCAGGCCCGUGUGGCUUGGUGUGGUAGCAAGAAAGGGCAGUGAAUCAACGGUAAUCCCCUGCAUAAACUGUGUCCCCUCGCACUUCUGUGUUGAGACUCAAACCUCAAAUGUCCUUACAAUAGCAGAAAUUUGGACAUAGCCAUGGAAAGAAAAAAGAUGUGAAGACACAGGCAGUCUGAGAUGCUCAUCUGCCUCUCGAGUACAAAGGCCUCGAGCAGAUUCUUCCGCACGGUUCUCAAAGAGCCAACCUCUGACCCUGAGUUUGGGCACCCAGCCUGCAGGACUGUGAGGCUCUGGGUAUCUGUGGCUUAGUCCCAGUCUGUGAGAUGGAUCACCACAGCCCAGCUGUAGCAUGCAGGGCUGGGGUGCUCGUGCCAUAAGCAGAGAGUGCCAUCCACGCUGGGGGAGACAGCAGGCUGUGCCAUGUGGGCAGUAACUGACACCAGGGAGGGACCUCAGGCCAGUGUGCUGAGAGGUGAAGCCGAGAGCCCGGUAAGCUGGCUGCCUUCCUCACUAAACCAGCAAAUGCGGCUUUAUGUAUGUUGUUUCAGGACGCUGGCGGUAGGACUUAGCAAGACAGGCAUGUGCAGCAUGACCAAUGAAGUGACCAACUCCCAAGGGCUCAGGAGCUGCCCAGUUGCGAUGGGGCAGAGCACACUCAAAGACUCCAGCUCACUUGCAGCCUCGGAGACAGUAUCUGGAACCUAAACACCCAACUGCUAAUUGAUGGCGAGAGAUGGACCUGGCAGGGCAGAUGCAUGAGCCUGUCUGACCAGCUCCUUCGUCCCUGACGGAAGAGCUCCACAGGGACCCAGCAGAACCCUCAGAAGGUGUGGCGUGCACCUGGAAUUGGAGCGAGGGAGUAGUUUAAUGAUUUCAGUUGGUAAUGAGAUCAGACUCCAAUGGCCUGGUGUGCUGCUCCCCACAGCUGGGAGGCAGUUGGUUACCAAGGGGCUGUACACCCAUCUGUCCCCAUCAGCAACAGCUGAUGUCCCUGCCCUGCACAGUGCAUGCAAGGCAUUGCCAACUUCAGCUCUGGGACUUCCACUGAGCUGCCGUGGAAAGCCUGUCCUCUUAAAUGAAGGCUUGGGUUGCUGUUGGAAUAUUCCUAACUUUGACCAGAUGAAAGACCCACCUUGCAAUCCUAAGAUCCAUCCCUCAUUUCUGUAUUCUUGGCCAUGGGGAAGAAAAUGAUGAUGCAGAUGGGCCCUCAUUGUAGUUCUUUUCAAAGUUCUUAAACACAAAUUUAAUAUUUUCAAUAAUGAUUUUGGUAGUGGGUUUUUUUAGGCUAAAUGUUUUGCAGUGCUUUGUUUAGAUGGUGAUUGGUGAAAUAUUAUCACCUUCCACUGCUUUAUUUUUACCCUUUCCUAUCCCCUGAUGGGGAUGAGUUUGCGUCCAGGACAGAUGACAGGCGUCCUGAUGGAGGAGGCCGUGCACACUCACUUACGCCUUCCAUUUCCUUCCUAGGAGGCCUUGAAGCAAGGCUGGCCCUGGGAGAAAACAUUCUGCUGAGCGGGCCGAGGAGGUGGGGCCAGAGAGGGCUCCCUCUUGGGGGAAGUGGGAGUCACUAGGCAGAAGAGCUCAGCAGGUCAUCCAUUCAGAGCGCCUGCAGUCGCAAAUAGCCGGAAGGGCACAGGCAGGCACCAAGAAAGCAGGGGUAGUGCUUAUUUUCGCAAGGUGCCUGCGCUUUCCUGCGCUGUGUCCUGGCCUAAUUCUGCAGGGGCCAGGGUAGCACAAGUUGAGUGGGAAAAGUUGUAUGUAAUAAGAUUUCCACUCUGAAUGUCUUAUAAAAAGAAGCUCCUAACUUCUAAGUACCUGCUCUUACCCUAAAUUUAGGAUGUCCCCGGUCCCGGGUGACCUAGCCUUCCCCCGGUUCUCCUGCCCCCCAAAGAUGAUUCUGACAGCUCGGCUACUGGACAGCCACCAUUGCCUUUUCUAGGAGCUCACCAGCGAGCAAGGCUGAGCUACGCAUUCUGCAUGCCAGGAAGCACCUCUGCUGCCAAGUUCAAAUCUGCGCUCACACUGAGUAAUGAGACCUUGCGAGCUUUGUUGGUAAUUAUUCGGCACUGCAAUAAAGAACCCAAACACACAUGAGUUUCAAAUGACUUCACCGCUGAUUUAUAUGCACAAAGAAUAAUUAGCAUCAUGUAAUUUUCCUUGCCAGACUGUCUCAUUUGAAUAUCGAAAGGUGUCAUUUUAAAAUAAUUUCAUACUUGGUUGAUGAACUAAAACUGAGACAUCGGACGCACACGGUGUGUUGUGUGGCGGGCAGGCGAGUGAGCAGCCCUCUCCCGGGGGGCAGGGACAGCAAAACUCAUGGAGUGAAGAUCACCUGCCUCCAAGAGGAGCCCCUUAGGCCUGUGAUCUGGGAAAAUAAGCCUGGGUCUCACGACUCAGUCGGUAACAACUGUGGCCCCUCCGCGGACACAGACUGGGAUCAGAAACAAAACCGCUGAAAUGACAAUUCCAUGAAUUACCAUAUACAGAAUAGGCAGAGUUCUGAUACUAGAAGUCCAGUGAACAUUUUUAGUGUUGUUGGGUUUUGUUUUGUUUUUGCAGUACUGGGAAUUGAACCCAGGGCCUCUGCAUUGAACUGCAUCCCCAUCUCUUUUUUUUUUGGUACCUGGGAUUGAACUCGGGACCAUGCGCUUGCCAGGCAGGCAGAGGAACCACUGAGGUAAAUCCCCGGCCCUUUUUAUUCUUUAUUUGGAGAAGAAUCCCACUAAGUCAGCGAGUGGCCCAAGGGACUCAAACUUAUGAUCCUCCCGCCUCAGCCUCCCAGGAUUACAGUGUGCACCAGCAACCCGGCUGGAUUCAGUUUUGAAGAGAGGGAAGUGUUGCAAUUCCUCUCCAAGGUCGGCCCUAACUCACUGGGGCGAGUGAGCUUGAACUCAGUGCACCACCCCACUCCGGGGCUGCAUCCCCACAGUUCUGCAGGAGGCAGAACCGGCCUCCUUCCCCCAGGGGCCGCUGUGGGCUCUGCUCCUUGAGCCUCUGACCCCUGGGAAAGGCAGUCCCCGAGCCCUGCGCCCACCUGUCCUCACCACUGGGCUGAUCCAUCCUCCUGUGGCCGGCAGUGCCGGCCCUGCUGUGACUACCCUGCCAGGGAACCUGGGGUCCUCCCUGCCCCCUGCACCCCAGUCUUGCAGUGUCUGCUGCCUGACCCCUGGAUGUCUCCCUGUUCCUUGCCUGGCUCAUAAGGACAUUACUCCCCAGGGCCAGCUGACCCGACUUCCACAGGGGGGGUGGCAGUCAGCUCACAAGACUCGCAAAAGCAGAGGCAAUCCAAGCCUUCUUCCCUCCAAGAGGAAAAGGGAGUGGCUUGCUCAGGACAGGGAGGCUCCCCGACCCUGACGCCUGCAGCCAGAAAGCAAGGAUGGCCCCAGCAGGGACCCCUGUGACCAGGUUCUGGAGAAGCGUGAAGUGGUUCAUUUCACAGUACACUUUCCUUGUUCUUUGGGAGAACUGGGUGAAUUUACUGACUGAUCAGUUAACAUCAGUCUUCACUCAUGUUUGUACUGUUCUUUCAAGCUUUCUUCAAGAUCUGCAAAUAGAACCCUAAGAAAAGCUUUCCCCAUGAGUGGAAGAAACAGCUGAACACCUUGACAUAGUAUUCUGCAGGGAAGUUUGUCAUUACAUUCAAUUUUAUCACGUUUGCUUUUUGCCUCCCACUAGCUUAAUAUUCUUUCCUCUUCUCAAAGUGGGAAAGCUCAAAAGCUAUAAAAACACUUUGUUACUUUUAGUUUAUAAGUUUAAAAAUUACAGUAAAAAAGGAAAGCUAUUCUUUAGUGCUCUAGCAGAGAUUAGGCAUUCUGUACUCCUACUAAUUAUAUUCUGGUGUUAAAUUAACUUUUUAAGAAUCCCCUGCAAUUCACAGAGCAGACAGCACCAAAACCAAAUUGCACAUGUUAUUUCAUUUUUUAUGAGUAAGAAAUAUUGAGCCCUUUCAAAGCAGAGUGGUACGUAUUGACGGCUUUAAUUAUUUUAGGGCCUGGCUUGUUUUUUGCUUAAGUGUACACAUGGAAUUUAAAAUAACUUUUGCUCCCCUGGAAUGUAUUUGUUUUCCGUGACUUUUCCAUUAAUGUCAGGACAAUGGCUUCUGUAGCUGGGGGCCUCUACAUUUUUCCUCCUGAACUGGCUGCUGCCAUGCCAUUUCAACAGUCCAGCUGUUGGCAUUUUAAAAUUUCAUGUUUUAUCUUUAAUUUGAUUAACCUAGUUCAUCAUGCUUGCUCUAAUUCCAAGAAUAAAAUGGGACAAUGUGCUUUUAUUUGUAUAUACCUGUUAGUUUUAUCAGUGUAAUUCAUGCUUACAGAUUAUGAUGUUAAAGUGUGAAUUAGCAAGGGAGACAAAUUUAGCUUUUUGUUUAUAUGUAGGCACAAUACAAAGUAGGUUUUUAAAAUCCCAGUUGGUUUCCUUUCUAGUUUUUGUUCUGCCCCUCUGGUACCACUGAUGGGAGGCUUCUAGGCACAUGGGAAGUAUGCCACAUUCAAGGUUUGGAAAUAGUGGAAGUGUGGCCUCGGAACUCAUGUGCUAUGUUUGGUCACCAAUGUGGUGAUGUUAAGAAGUGGUAGGGCUUUUAAGAGACAGGGCUGGCGGGACCUCUUUAGGUCACUGGGGGAAGUGCCCUCAGAAAAGGUCAUCUUGCUUCUCAGGAGACCCUUGUUAGCUGUAUUAGUUGGGGCUCUCUGGAGGAACAGAAUCAAUAUAAAAUAUGUGUAUAAUUACCCAGAGGGAUAUAUGGAAUAGUCUUAGGAGGCAGAAGAAUCCCAGUGCCCAUCUGCAGGAUCAGAGACAGAGGAAUCCCAGUGGUGGCCUGCCCACUAGGGAGCCAGGGGUUCCAGUACCAGUUAAAGGCUGAAGGCCUGAGAGCUCACUGUGGAGUCAGCAGUGCAAGGCUGCAUUGGAAGGCUAAAGAAACGGAGACUGAUACCAAAGGCAACGGUGAGGACAGAGCUCGUCCAUAAAAAAGGGGGGACCCUUUCAUCUUUCCUUUUUUAUUCCAUCCACAUUGGUUGGUGCCACCCAUAUCUGGGGUGGGUCUUCUCCCCCCAGUUCGAGGCCUACAUGUCCGUCAUCCACAGACACACCCAGUACUUACUGCCAAGCUAGGCAGUGAUCAAGUAAAGUUCACACUGCAUGAUUGGUGAUCACAGCUCCCAAGACUGACUGCUACGGAAGGACGACCCUGGCCCUCCUUCUCUCGGACUCCCUGUCUUUCCAUGUGCCUACCCUUACCAUGAUGCCAGCCCCCCUAAUGUGAUCAGCCAGGAAGGUCCUUGCCAGAGCCAGGCCAUGCUGUUUGGGCUUCCAGCCUUUGAAACUGUGAGCUAAGUAAAUCUCACUUCUUUCCAAGUCCCCAGCCUCAGGUAUUUCGUUAUAGCAAUAGGAAAUGGAUGAAUAUACAAGGUUAUCAGUGGACAGAGGAACCCUGAAAAUUCUAAAACAAAGAAGUAUUGGUUGAGGAUCUAAAGUUUUUCCCUGAAAAAAACAGUAAUUUUUAGAAAAAUAAGAUAGGUAUAGAUAUAUAUGAAAAUAAUUAAUGAUGUAAAGAUCAUGUAUAUUAAGUACUAAUUUAUACAUAUUCUGGGUUCCAAUGCAAUAGAUGAUAAGAUCUUAAAGCUCCCAGGUCCCUUCAGACACACUUAACUCCAUUCUCCUAGUCUCCCUUGAGGAAACGGAGGUUUGGAAAGGUUAAGUGCACUGUCUACAGUCACUCAGCUUGCACGCAGAAGAGUCAAAGCUAGACGCAGUGCUAACUAACUCAAGCUGAGCACUCCAUGCACCAUGCUGCCCAGACGUGGAGCUUGAGUUACCCUUGAAGAGCCACAUUCAGGGCCUGCAGGUAGAGCCCUGCAGGCGACACCCUGCGCAUCUCCGGUGGGUGCCCGACCCCAGGCUCUGACGGCCGCCGUCUGAGGAAGGCGCUCGCACCAGGCGGGAUGUGCACAGCAGACGUGAAAUGCGGCUGUGCUCCCUCGGCCCCUCCCCGAGCACAGUUCCGUUCGCAGAAACAGUCCAGGAUGUCCAGUGUGGAGAGCAGCGGAGCCGAACUUGUGACUGGCACCCCAGGCACUGCGUGAUUUGCAGUAUCAGGAGUGCAGAUCCGUUUUUCCAUUACAGAUGAAAUAAGACCAGUGAUUCGAGGCACUCAGAGCAAAUGUGAUACAGCUCUCUUCUCUGACACGGCAGGGAGGUGGCAGUCGUGCGGGUGGGCGGGGGACAGCUGGGGAUCUUCUCCCUCCCGUGGCAGAAGCAAAAGUGCAGAGAGGCAACAAAGACAGCAGCCUGCCUUCUCCACAGUCCUAACCUCCGGCCCCUUCCUCCCCGUGCUCUUCGGGUUGUGGCCACCGAGAGCAGCCCCUGCGUGGGAAAUCCGUAGGGCAGGGGAGGGGCAUGGGAGCUGAGCGCCGGUUUGGAGCUGUCCUGGCCCUCCUUUUUCAGCCCAAAGACUGAUUGGAAACUUCAGAAAGGAUGUCUAUCCACACUGCAGACAUUAUUGUGAAGCUGGGCGGCUUCAUUAGGCCACCAUUAUUCCCCACAGAGAGAUGGCUGGGCAGACUUCAGUGAGCUCAGGCUGGGCUUGACCUUCAACUCGAAGUCUCUCUCAGAACGGGCCCUCUAUCACUUCCAUCAGGAAAGUGUUUAUAAUGGGCUAUAAUAUGUGACAGUUUUUCAAGUCACUUCAUUGGAAUCAUUCGUAAGAGUUUUACUUAGUUGUUAAAUCGCCAGCCCCAAACCACUUGUGGUCUUUGGAACUCUGUAAUUCCUCAGGAGUCAGCCUGGACUGUAGGAGACACUCAGGGGUCAAAGCUGCACAAGGACACAAGAUAAGUAAAAUACAAGCUCUGCCUCGUAAGAUCUUAUCAUGGCAAGAGGGGUCAAGGAGUCUAAGGGAAGUAGUAACCAUAUUGGGAGCAGGACAGGAACCCAGUUCUUCUAAACUAAAAUCCAAUGUACUUUUCUCUAUAGACUUCCGAAACUGCAAAUAAACAAGACCGAACAUGAGUACAGAGCUGAUCUAGCCACUUGUGCAUGCUUAGCGCUUCCCACUGAGGCUGGCUCAGAAUGGGCGUUCCUAAAUGACGGGUAAGAACGGUACAUUUGAAUAUGAGUAAAUACAGAUACAGCAGGAUAUCCCAAGGCAUGUCCAGGGCCUAAUUCCAGGAUACCUAGAAUUCAGGGCUACCUAAUUCAUUUGAAAGAGUGGUUUGUCCGUCCAUCUGGAAGUGGAAUUUAUGUCUCACAGUUCUGUAAGCCGGGAAGCCCAAGAUCAAGGACCAACAGGUCUGCAUCUGGUGAAGGCUCGCUCAUUCCCUGGCUCAUUGGUGGCGUCUGGCUGCAUCUUCACAUAGUGGAAGAAACAAAAGAUCUCUGAUCACCUAACCGCCUCCGACGGCCCUCCCUCCUAAUGAAUAUUGCCACUUUGCCCAUCGGGAUUUCAACACAAACACUGAGAUGAUAGCAGGCUGUAACAGAUUCCCACAAGUGUGGUGGCUUAAAAUGACAGGAACAUGAAGUGAAGGUGUCUGCACAGCUAGUUCCUCCUGCAGUGCCUGGGAAGGGCCCUUCCUCUCCCCAGCAGUGAGCUUCGGCCUUUGGGCUCUUGGACUGAGUGGUAAAGGGCUUCGUACCGGCCUUCUGCCUGGUGCCCACGGUGAGUCUUGUGCGUGGCAGUGAGUGGGUGAGUGCGUGAAUGAAGUCCUCCACUGUGGACCUCACAUCCUGUACCUGGGACCUGGGACCUGGGCAAGGGGAGCAGUGGGCAGCCCGACCACUGCUUGCUCCUGUUACAGCUGGAACUGAGCCCUGGCCUCUGCUUCCAACACAGCAGCUGAUAGUGAAGUGACACUUCAUCCUGUUACAUCAAGGUGAGGUUUAUACCGCCUUGAGGGCUCCUUAUCCAAAUGCCAAGUGUUUGGGAUUUCAGGGAUUGCUUGUUUGUUUUGGAUUUUGGAAUACUUGCACAUACAAGAUAUGAUCACAAAUACAGUAAGUGUGUGCAGUUGUUUAAAAAGUAUUAUCAUGAAAGACAUUGCCAUUAAUUCCCCUCAGGACACACCCCCUGACUUCAAACACUAUCCCACAUUCUUGCCACUCGCUGAAGCAGUUCUGGAAGUCCUCUUCUGCAUCUUGUUGUGUUGUCAUGGCUGCCUCGAUGUCCUGAAUCAAUUCAAAAUCUUUUGCUUUCGUGGUCAUGUUGACUUUGGGGAAGAGCCAGGUGCCAGAUCCCGUGAAUAAUGUGGACAAGGCACAUUGUGAUGUUUUAUGGGCUGCCUUUCUCUGCAUGGUCUCCUCAUCAGCACUCACUCCACGUUUGUCACACCUUAGAAGGAUUCACGAAAGAGGACUUCAGAGCUGCUUCAGAAAGUGGCAGGGAUGAAGGGAUGAGAGUGUGUGAAGCAAGGGAAGUGUUUUAAGAAGGAUUAAUGGCCGUGCCUUUCACGGCAGUAAACUUUUUAAAAUGUAGAUAUUCAUUGCCUAUUUUGGUCACCCCUUGUACAUCAUGAGAUGUCUUGUGAGGGGAGCCAGGUGCCUAAGCACAAAACCUGUUUGUCCAUAUGUGUGUAUAUCUCAUAGCCUCAUAGCCUGUGGCCAGUCACCAGUCCCAUGAGGUCGGAUCUGGGGUUUUCCAUUUGUAAUAUCAUGCUACACUCAAAAGCUUUUGGAUUUUGGAGCAUUUGGGAUUUCAGAUUUUUUGAUUAGGGAUGACAUUAAAAAGUCAGAGUCUUUAGAGGAAAUGCAUAAAGGAAAGAAAUAAAAAUCACCACUAAUCUCACAGUGCCCUGAUACAUUAUGUGUUGCUUCCUCUUGUCCUUACUGCUCCUCCCCGUUCCCGUGUGUGUGUGUGUGUGUGUGUGUGUGUGUGUGUCUGUGUGUCUGUGUGUGUCUGUGUUCUCUCAUCUGACAGUGCCUGGGAUUUGUGGCUCGCCUGCCACUGUUCAGCAUUGCUAAGCAACUCACAAGGCUCAUUUCACUUAAGUCCUACAGAAAACCUAAGUGGGGGCAGAAGUAUGGUUAAGAGCAUUGUACAGAUGAAAGGGCCACACCUGAGAUGAGAUUGCAUUUUAUACGCAGGCUUACACUGCUCUUGACACGUAACCUGACGUGAGCAUCUUCCUCACUGUUAGUUGUGCUUAGGAAGCAGGACCUUUGGCGGUUUUAUCGCAUGCCAGAGUGCACUGUUCCCUAACCACGCCCCUCUCUGGGGCAUCGACAGUCCACAUGAGCUUCUUUCCAUUGCACGUUACACUGUGAAGACCAGCCCUGUGCAGAGCUUCACAGGCUGACCCUGUACACGGUGUUCCGUUCUGCAUUUUUGUCCAUUGAACAUGCGUCUGUUGAUCUCACUUCCAGUAUUUUAUGCAAUAAAAAAGUACUUUAUCUCCCCUUUUAAAGAUUGAGUUUUGAAGUAGCUGAUCAGUAUGGGACAUUUGGGUCCACCAGUAAGAAACAGCAGAAAGAAAUACAGACUUAAAAGACCAAGAGAACAGAAAGUAGAUAAAUAUGUAAUAAAAUUCAAAACAUAGACUUCUAGUGUGGAACAGAGAGCUGCAAUUGUUUCUCUCUCUCUCUCUCUCUCUCUCUCUCUCUCUCUCUCUCUCGGUACCGGGAUUGCAGAACCACUGAGCUAAAUCCCUGGCUCUCUCUCUCUCUCUCUCUCUUUCUCUGUAAACCUCCAGGCAGUAGAUUCUUUUUUAAUUAAAAUUUUCCCCAGUGUACAUGUUGGCUGGUCGUCUGUUGCUGAGUGGUGAGAAGAAACAUGAACUUUCGUGUUGAGAAGGUCACGAGAGCCUGUGUGUUCUUGGGGUUAUGUGGAUGUCUGUUAUAGUAUUCUGGGUGUUGAGCUUUGGAAGUAGCCUUGCAACCAGUCCAUGUCGGGGUUCACAUCAGUGGUAGCUGGAUGUGCCAUACAUCAGCUGCCCAAGAGGGCCAGACCCUGGGGAAACAGGCAGAGAGCCUGUGCCUCUGAGCCGCUCACCCCAGAACAUGCAGUAAUCUCAGGGAGAAGUGGUAGCAUGCAGGGUUGCUCACUGCUCUUGUUUCAUAAGCACACGGCAGAUCCAUGGAGUCCAGAUGGGCACCCCCCAACUCCUGGGUAACCCAGCAGGACCUUGGCUGCCCCUGCGUCUCCAUUUAUCCUCAUGUGCUCAUCCCACUUACGCUUGGCAUCAUCUCUGUUGCAGUUAAAAGACUGGACACCUGAGCCCUCCGACUGCAUCAGCUGGGGCUUGCGCCAGGAGGGUAGGCCUUGUGCAUAUGCACUGGACCCAGAAAGCUCUGGCAGGGCUGAGUAAGGUCAUGGAUCAGCCUCCCUCUGCCCUCGUGAAAUAUGAGAAGUGAGGGGCUGGUGGAGGAAGCCACUCUAAGGGGCAGGAGGAAAGAGCUCCUUUUGCACCCUAAAGCAAGCGCAGGGCUACUAGCCUGCAAGCCUGAACUCAGCUCCCAAAGAGCCAUCGGCUGAGGCCCUGGGGGACACCAGUGUCUUCCACAUUCACAGCGACAUCAGCCCUUGGCAUGCGCUUGUAGUCCUAGCACUUAACUGGCUGAGGCAGGAGGAUCCCGUGAGCCCAAGAGUUCAAGACCACUCUGCAACAUAGGAGACCCUGUCUUAUAAAAAACCAGGUCACUCAGGAAGCAAAUUUGGCAUAUCAUCAAAGUGUCAGAAAACUCCCAAGAAUACAAAUAAAUGUGUGUACUUCCAGCUGAGUUCUGUAACCAUUUCAUGCCCUGAGCAACUUUCUGAGAAGGUAGAAACAUUGUACACUGUGCCAGCUGAUGUAGCGACCAUUAGCCACAAGCGGCUGCUGAGAAUUGACAUGUGACAAGUGAAACUAAGCAAGUGAAUUUAAAAUUUUAUUUCAUUCUAAUUAAUUUUAGUUUGCAGAAUCACCUGGCUAUUGUGUUGGAGAGCACAGAGAUGACAAAAAUAUAAACCAUUACUGUUUGGAUAACUGACAUUGUCAGAAGUUCCAAUCUCUUUGUUUUAGGUAAAAUUUUUACCUGUGUGGUCUCAAAGAAGUCAAGUGCAGUCCUUUAUUCAAAAGAAGGACAGUGGGGUGUGGCUCGGUGGUGGAACACUUGCCCAGCAUGGGGGAGGCCCUAGGUUCAAUUCCCAGCCCUAAAAAUAAUUAAAAAGAAUGAUCAAGCAGAGCUUGCACAAGGAGAGGCUGAGCAAGGACAGUUACCUCGGGGUGAGGACAAGC